rnacentral:lncRNA from 1 species
UUAAAUUCGGGUUAAUUCGGAUCGGGUGAAACACUGCACAGAUCAAAUGCAAAAUAUUUAAUUUUAAUGCUUAAUCUGCUUAAUCUAUUCAUUAAAAACAAAACAAAACAAAACAAAACAAAUCAUACAUACAUAUUAUUUAAGCUUCCACAGACUUAAUAAAUUAAACUCCAAAAUUUUCGAUACAAGAAUUUCCCUCAUUUUAUUAUUAACAUUUAACAAUACAUAUACUUAGCAAUUAACAGAUAAUAUAUAAUAUAUUAUUAUAUCCCAUCAAAACAUCAAAAAAGAAAAGAAUUUGGGUUGCCGGUUUGCGCCUUCGCGGUGGAACUCGGUGAUGGUGGAGGCUGCAGCAGCAUAUCCGAUAGCAGCGCAGCGGAUCCAGCAGCAGCAGAUCCUGUAGAUAUCCGGCAACAGCAGAUCUGGUAGCUACGGAUGUCGCGGAGCAGUAGAUCCAGUCACGGGUUAGGUGGCUGCAUGCGCUGGCUGCGCUUCCUCCGUUCUCUUCUCUGCGUUGGCUGCUAGCUGCCGCUUUGCUUUUGGCUUUUGCGAUAUUUGUGUGUGUGUGUGAAGUCGUGAGUGUUAAGGAUGAGGGCUGUGGGGAUGAGGACUGUGAAGUGUGAAGGCAGCGAAGAUAUGUUUCAAUGUUUGUGUGGCCUGUGUGUGUGGGUUAUAAUUAUGUUUUGUUUUUUAUUUGUCAAUUUUUUUUAGCCACUUGUUUUUGUGACUUUUUGAGUUGUAACUUUGUGUGGCCGUGUGUGUGGUGUCUGGUGUGUGCAUGUGUGAUGUGUUUAUAGGUUUAGUGAUAUUUUUUUUUUUGGCGACCCGAUCGGGUAUUCGGAUCGGAUCGGGUUUUACCCGACCCGAUCACAACCCGAUCGGGUUUGUAAUUUUUCACCCGUUCGGGUUUCAAUAACAACCCGAACCGACCCGAACCCGAAUUUUUUCGGGUCGGAUCGUGUCGGGUCGGGUCGGGUCGGGUAUUUUGCCCACCCCUACUAGACAGCGGGAGGCGACAGCCGCGGCAUAGCUAGGGUUUUUCACUUUUUCUUAUGUAAUUGCGAUUUGUGAUAGAAAUUAGAAAGAAAAAAAAAUGAAUUGCGAUUUUUUAAGGUUUUUUUUUUAUGUUUCUAUUUAUAUUAACUAAUAAAAAUAAUAUAAAAAAAUGAAUCCGAGUCCGGGUUCUGGAUUCACGGGUUACCCCAAAUCCGGACCCAGACCAGGAUUAAACCGGGUUACUAAAAUUCAUUCCAGAUCCAGAUUUUUUUACACUCCAGUACGGGUUCAACUCGGCCCGGAUUAUCCGGGUUAGUCCAGGUCCGGGCCGGGUCCGGGUUAUUUUGCUAUCCCUAGUUUUAAAUAAGCUUAAUGAUUAUUUGACUUACAUGUGUAUGUUGCUCAGAACUUGCUAUAGCAUUUUUUUUUUUAAUUUUACUUAUCACAAUUCUCUAUUUAAGUUGAUUACCUAUUUAAUGGACACUAGUUAAGAAAGAGCCUCGAAAAUGUCUGACUUAAUAGAACAAAUAAAAAUGAUAAUGGUUUCAGAUUAGGUUUCCCAAGUUGAGUUAAUCUCGAUUUGAAUAGGGAUAUACUUAAUUUUAAAUUAGUAAAGAGCUAAACAUAGGGAUUUACUUUGUAGGGUAAAUGAAGUCUAAAGCGUAGAAUGUUAUAUUUAAUGUUAGUUUAACAACUAGUCAUUGUUAGAUUGUAUAUAGAUAUAAGAUAUCAAAAAUACGACAACUAAAGAUAAUUUAGAGAUUCUGUUCAGUACUGUAAUAGAUGUUGUAGCAACUAUGCCUCUACUGAAAGAUAGUCAAUAACCAGUAAGUUUAAAACCCAACUACCCAUUUGCCAUUGAGUAUAUAUUUGUAUUUGACUUUUGAUUCUCUUUAUUACAUUUUUAAUUUCAUUAGGUCAUUAAUCUCAUCGUUUAUUUUUUAUUUAAUUUACUAAAAUUGCACUGUCAAGAUUGUUGUAGUAAGUCUUAUAACAUCAAUCCUUGUGGAGACAAUCUUGAUACUCAUCAUUGUAUCACUUAUUAUGUUCACUUGCACAUUGACACACUUCUCUAAGUUUUUGGUGUCGUUUCUAAGGAUUGAGUGCAUAUUGUGAGUUGUAAAGUCAAUCUAUUCGGUCUUAAUUUUAGUUUUCUUUUAAUUUGUUUAUUGUGUUGAUAUAAUUACUCUUACAACCCUUGCAUGCGCAAGUAUAAACCUAUUGAAUUUCAGUUUGAUUCAGAAAUUGAAAAAAGUGUAAGGAGACUGAGAAAAAAGCAUAGAGGUUUAAGAUAUGUCGCAAACAUGGCUGGUAUGCAAAAUGUGGGAGAUUUGAAUCCUUAGGAAUGAAAGAAUCCAAUCAAUGUCCAAAAAGAUAAUCAUCUUCCCAUCUUAGAUCUAGUUAAUGCACAAGGAGCUCAAAAAAGUCAAAAUUGGCAGAAUGGCCAAGAGCAACUAGAGAAUAACAACAUUAUCUACAUGGCAUAUGAUAGAGACUAUGCAGUAUUGACCCCUCAAGCCAUAAAUCCUGGAAUAGUUAGACCUGAAGUUCAAGCUGAUCAUUUUGAGAUUAAACUAGUAAUGUUUUUGAUGCUAUAGAUAAUGAGACAAUUCAAUAGACUGCCAUCAAAAGGUCUUUAUCUUCACCUUAAACUGUUUUUGAAAGUGAAUGAUGCUUUCAAGAUUAUUAGAGCAUCACAUGAAGAAUUGAGGUUUAAAUUUUUCUUAUUUUCUCUGAGGGAUCAAGUAAGAGUUUUGUUAAACUCUUUACCACCCGAUUCCAUCUAACAAAUUUCUAAUGAAGUACUUUCCACCUACCAAGAAUGUAAAGUUAAGGAAUAAAAUCAAAUUUUUCCAUCAACUUGAAGAUAAAAGCUUGUAUAAUACAUGAGAAAUAUUCUAAGAGUUGCUUAGGAAAUGUCCUCAUCAUGGUAUCUCUUACUGUAUACAAACGAAAACUUUCUAUAAUGGCCUAAACUUAAGCACUAGAUUGAUGAUAGAUGCUUCAUCAAGUGAGGCCUUGUUAUCUAAGUCUUACAAUGAGGAUUAUGAUAUCUUGGAAAUGAUAGCCAGCCAAAAACAACUAUUAGUGGUCAUCUACCAAACAAGUUACAGCAAAAGGAAUAGCAAGAGUUCACAAUGUGGAUGCCUCGAUAGCAUUAUCAACCCAAGUAACUCUAUUGACAAAUAUGAUCAAGGUUAUGUCCACUGCUCCAGCAACUGUCAACAAAAUUGUUGAGGUGUCAUGUGUUUAUUGUGGAGAAGGACAUUUGUCUGAUAAAUGUCCUAGAAGUCAUGUCUCAAUCAAUUAUGUGGGUAACUAUAAUAGACAAAAUUAGAACAAUCCUUAUUCAAAUACUUACAACCCUAGAUGAAGGCAAUACCCAAACUUCUAAUGGAGCAAUGAGAAUUAGAUUCAAUUGCUGCAGCAUCCAAUAGACAUAGCAGACUUGCUCAAAACCUGGAUAGCAAAAUCUAGAGUAAAGAAACGUCAGCAAUGCUCAACUCAGCUCGGUUGAAGCUUUAACUAAAGAGUAGAUUACAAAGAAUGAAGUAUUUGUUCAAAGUCAAGUUGUAUCCUUGAGAAACUUAGAAAAUCAGAUGGGACAACUUACUAAAACAUUAACAGACCUUAAGGUGGUUUACCAAGCAACAUAAAGGAACCAAGAAGAUAAAGAAAGAGCAAUGCAAGGUAAUUAAGUUAGGAUUUAGAAAGGAUGUUCACAUACUAGUUGGUGUACCAAAAAGAAUAAUUGAACCCAUUUCAAUCCAGAAAGAAACUUAAGUUAAAGAGGAGCCACAACCCUUCAUUUUACAGCACACUAUUGAGAAUAAUAAAUCUACAACAUCUAUAGAAAAUAAUUAUCCAAUACCUAUUGAUGAAGAUGUUGCACCACGAAUACACUAAUCUAGAACAUGGCAAAAGAAAAGCAAUCUACACAACCUACUGUAACUCAACAGCUCAGGCACCCACCACCAUUUCUUUAAAGGUUUUAAAAAUAGAAACAAGAUAAGUAGUUCAGUAAAUUCUUGGAAGUGUUGAACCAGUUGCAUAUCAAAAUCCAUUUUUGUGGAAACUCUAAAACAAAUGCCAAAUAAUGUGAAGCUCUUGAAGGAUAUUUUGGCAAAGAAAAUGCAAGGAGAAUUUGAAACAGUUUCUCUAACACAAGAGUGCAGUUGCAUGCUUCAAAGCAAGAUACCUCAAAAAUUGAAGGAUCUAAGAAGCUUCACAAUUCCAUGCUCUAUCGACAAUGAAUAUAGUGGCAAGCACUUUGUGAUUUGAGAUCUAACAUUAAUCUCAUGUCCUCAUCUAUGUUCAAAUAACUAGGGGUUGGAGAAGUUAGACUAAUAGCAGUUACUUUACAACUUACUGACAUAGUUCAUGCCUAUCUAGAAAGCAAGAUUGAAGAUGUACUAGUGAAAAUGGAUAAAUUUUUAUUUUUUUGUUGACUUCAUAGUACUAGAUUUUAAAGCAAAUAAAGAAGAGCCUAUUAUUUUAGGCAAAUUCUUCUUAGCCACUGGCAAGACUCUAAUUGAUGUGUAAAACGAAAAACUAACUAUGAGAGUUAAUGAUCAGUAAGUUACAUUCAAUGUGCUAGAUGCUAUGAAGAUUCUUGAUAAUGUUGAAGAUUCUAAUUUUAUUAGUGUCGUGGAUUUUGCUAUAGUAGAGAGAUUAAAAGUUGAUAUAGAAAAGAGGAAAUUAAGAUUGCAAUAUUUGAAAAACUUGAAUAUGAACAUUAAGCCCUUGAAACAACUGACAUAACAUGGCUAGAAGAAAAGCAACCUUUCAGAACUGACUAGCAAAUUAAAUCUCUUAACCUCUCAAAUCGGAAAGUAAAACCUUCUAUUGAGUCACCUCUUAUUCUAGAAUAAUUAAAACCUUUAACUUCACACUUAAAAUAUGUUUACUUUGGUGACCACAACACACUUCAUGUAAUUAUUUCAUCUUUUUGGAUGUAGAACAAGAAAAGAGCUUGGUUGCUGUAUUGGGGAAAUACAAAAAGGUUAUUGAAUGGACAAUGACAAAUAUCAAAGGAAUCAGCCCAUCUAUAUGCAUGCAUAAGAUUCUGUUAGAAGAUACUACAACAAGUCUAUAGAAUAAUAAAAAAGAUUAAAUCUCAUUAUUAGGGAAGAUGUGAAGAAAAAUAUCAUCAAAUUGCUUGAUGCUGGAAUCAUCUACUCAGAAUUAGACAGCUCAUGGGUGAGUCUAGUACAAUGUAUUCCAAAGAAAUGUGGAGUGACAAUUAUAGCAAAUGAAAAGAAUGAAGGUUUUGCAUGGACAGCAGAAAGCUAAAUAAGGCAACAAAGAAUGACUACUUUCCAUUACCUUUCAUAAAUUAAAUGCUGGACAGACUUGCUGGGAAAGAAUAUUACUAAUUUUUGAAUGGAUACUCAGGCUACAAAAGGAUGACAUUUGGCCUGUGCAAUGUUCUAACAACUUUCUAGUGGUUUAUGAUGUCAACUUUUUCAGAUAUGGUUAAGCAAAUACUUGAGGUAUUUAUAGAUGAUUUUUCAGUCUUUGGGAAAUCAUAUAAUGACUAUUUGCAUAAUCUAGAAAAUGUGUUUAGAAGAUGUAGAAAAAAACCUAGUAUUAAAUUAGGAAAAGUGUUAUUUCAUGGUAUAAGAAUGGAUAGUCCUAGGCCAUAGGAUCUCUUAAAAAAAAAAAGAUAAAAGUGGAUAAGGCAAAAAUAGAAGUGAUUGACAAAUUCUCACUACUAUUUCAGUUAAGGGCAAAAAGAGUUUCUUAGGACAUGCUGGAUUCUAUAGAAGGUUUAUUAAGGAUUUCUCUAAAAUAUCAAAACCUUUAUUCAUGUUGCUCGAGCAUGACAGUCCUUUUAAUUUUGAUAAGGAUUGCUUGAAGGCCUUUGUUAAGUUGAAGAGAGCUCUUAUUACAAUAUCAAUUGUUGUAGCACACAAUUGACGUUAAGAACACACUGUGCCAGACAAUAAUAAUCCUUCUGUCAAUAACAUAGCAAGAUCAUCCAUUAAAUAGCUUAGAUACACUCUCUGUCGACACUAAGUCAAGAUGACUUACAAAAUACUAUAGGGAAAUUUUCUCUCUAAUUAAUAUGGUUUUAAGUGCUUAUUGUGUCAUAUAGUAAGGAUUUUUCAUUAGGGAACCAGUAUAUUGUGCAAAAUUUAAUCUAGACAUAAUACAUUGUCUGUCGAUAAUGAGUCAAAAUAACCACAUAAAUCAGAAAGGAAAACAAAAUAAACUUAUCUAAUCAAGCUUAUGGAUCAUGUUGAGACUUCACAUUCAACCCAACUCGAAACUAAAUUAGCCUUUUAUAAUUGAACAAGGGGUAAAAUGAUAAUGUAUUAAAAUAUAAAGAAAAUAUAAAAUGAAAAGAGAAUUAUAGAAGAUGGAGCUCAAAAAUAGAUUCAGGGGUGUCAAAUUAGGGGGUAGCCUUCUAUUUAUAGAUACAAUAGAUAAAUCAUGGGCAUCGGAUGAAAACAAUCCGGACAUUAAGGAUUGCGUCACAUGGUAAGUUUUGAUUCGUUGGAACACAUCAUCACUCAACAUCAUAUCAGUAUUUUAGUCCAACAAGAUGUUGCCACAUCAUCAGUCCAUGCGACAUCCGUAUUUUGGUCCAAUAGCAUUCUGUCACAUCAUGGGUCAACACCACAUAAUAAGUUAAUGCCACAUUAUUGAUCCAAUAUGAUACUACCAUGUCAUCAAUCAAAGUCACGUCAUUGAUUAAUCCACGUCAUCGUAAAGUAUAUGUGAACAAUGUCAUACUUAUUAAUAGUGUCGUAUACAUGAAUAAUACAUAUUGUAGAAAAUAUAAAAUAGUCAAUAAAACAAAAAGUGAUACCUCGAAGAAUGAAGGGUAGUAGAACCAUACUCCCUCAAGAAUAGGGAGCAGCAGAACCAUGGUCCCCCAAGAAUGGAGAGUAAGAAUUAUGCUCCCCAAGAAAUAAAGGGCAAGAGUUGAGGAUGGCAAAAGUCAUAGGUUCAUAGGGCCUUUGGCCUAAUUCUAGAUUAUGCACCACACAGGAAAAGCCAAGUUCAAAUAGACGAGCUAUCGUUGAAUCAAGUCCAGCAAAAUAAAAGCCGACAAUGGAAGGACAUUGCUUGGUCCAGAAGCAAAUUAAAUAGACUCUGACACGAAUACAACCACCGAAAAAAAUAUAGUCAAGAGAGGGAGAGUUGAGUUGCAAAUCAGUAAGUGCGAUGUUAAUAAAAUAUUUGUCUUUCUUUGCUUGUAGAUAUAGGCCAAAUACCGAACCACAUUAAUUCGCUAUAUCUUUUUAUUAUAUCGCCCCCAUAUAAAUUAAUUUUCUAGUUGAUCAUAAAUUUGCAUUAACAGUUUUACACCGUCCAUGGGAUGGUAUAAAGACUGCUAUUAAGGUCUUAUUAAACCCCUAGUUCCUACUCUACUAAUAAGGUAGCGCAAUAACAUUAGGUCACAUCCACCACUCGCGCAGUAAAUGGCUGAUUUAACGUAGAAUAUGGCCAGCCUUCUCCAAUAUUUAAAGAACUAGAAGUAUAGAGUAAACCCAAAUCCACCUCUGCAGAAAGAAAAAGGACUAUAGAAUUAUGAUAACUCUAUUAAAUGAGAGUUAUCAUGGCAAUUUUAGGCUUAAAUCAAUGCUACUUAGAGUAAUUGAUAUGUUUUAGUGCACUUUAAUGUAGUUUGCAUUACAUUCAUUUUAGUUUGAGUUUAAUAAAGUUUAUGUGAUUUUUGAAUAAUUGUAUACCUAAAACAUAUUCUAAAUUGUAGGUAAUUGGAAACAUGAAUUUUAUGGAAAUGAUGUUGUUGCAAUGGACUUAUAAAGGACAAAAGAACAUGGUUAUAAAAGAAUUGAAGCAAGUCUAGAAUAGUGAAGAUAUUGUAGCCAUUGUUGUAGUAAACAUUGCUGCAGCAAUCCUCAAGCAUUGACAGAAAAAUCUGGGUAAGAUAUUCAUAAUAUUGCAAUCUACAGUUUCCUAAUCUAAAGAUGUGCGCCCUAAAAUUUUCAGUUACCCUAAUUUGCGAUUAUAAAAGGAGGCGUAUAUGAAAAGAAAAAGGGAAGCCGUCAAUUAAGAUCAAAACAGAAAAGAUAAAAAGAAGAAACAGAAUUCCAGAGCAGAGAUCAAGGCUGCACUAGGAAGAUAAAUUGCAAAACCGAUUGGAAUUUGUUAUUUCCCAUUCUUUUCUUGUUUAGUUGUUAUUCAUUGAUCAUGAAGAUGUAUUCGAUGGCUAGAACUUGGUUAUUUAUUUACCUUUCCCAAAUUAUGAACUAAUUUUAUUUGUGAUUGAGUGUUAAACUAGCUUGAUAGUUAAGUGACUGAAUAUAGAUGUUGCUGCAUGUUUGCUAUAUUAUUUUGCUUUGAUAGUAUUUAUUUAAAGUCAUUAUUUUGGCUAGCCACUCAUUUAAUAAUACAAGCUAGGAAAAAACCACAAAAGGGCCUAUCCUAGUGGAACAUAUCAAAGCAAUAUUCAUUCUUGGAUUAAGUUUCCUAGAUUAAGUUUAACUUGAGUCCUAAAACGGCCAUGCUUAGUCUAAGAUUAGUGAUGAACUAAAUAUAUGAAUUCACCUUGUAGGGUAAAGAGAAUCCGAACAUAUAAUGUUAUAUCUUAUGUAGGUAUAAUAACUAGUCAUUAUUAGAUUGCACAAAGAUAUAAGACAUCUAACAUGCUACCGCUGAGGAUAAAGCUGGCAUCUGCCCAAUGUUGUAGCAGAUGCUGCAGCAAUUGCACUUAACAUGCAUAAAACAGUCAACACCAUCAAGAGAGUUUAAUCACUCAACUACUCUAUUCUUAUGGGUUUAACCUUUUUGUUAAACUUGUAAAUUCUAUUCAUUGCAUUUUUAAUUAUUGUGAUUUUAUUUUACUAAGUUACUUGGUUAUAUUAGUUGAAUUGUUUUAAUUUAGAACGUAGUUUGCACUGUUAAAAUUGUUAUAGCAAGUCUGAUGGCAUCAAUCCCUGUGGAGAUGAUCUUAAAUAUUUAUCAUUUUAUUACUUAUUGUGUACACUUACAUAUUGCAAGAUGCUCUAGAAGAUAACAAUAAUAGCUCAUAAAGGGUUCAUCAUAAAAGUAACCAUAAAGAUCAGCUAGAAAAGCAAGGACUCAUAUAAGUCAUAUUGAUCACCUGAGAGACCUCCGACAUGUACUGGAAGCCAAGUAGGAUUUGUGUUACAAGAUGAAUUCAAAACGUCCAUAUAAGAAGCAUGAAUCAAAGGGCUUCAGUGCUAGUACUAGGUCGGUAAGUCUUCAAGCAGAAUUGAAAAAGCUUAAUAAACGAGUGGAAAAAAAGUCCUGCAAAACCACUCUUAGAGGAGGUAAAACCACUGAUCACCAAGGAUAUACUGGAGGCCUCAUUGCUCGUAAAAUUUAAGAUGCCCCAAAUAAAGUUAUAUGGGGAGAAUGAGACCCAAUUGAGCAUCUGAAGACCUUUAAAUCAUGGAUAAAAUUGUAGAGGGCAACAGGGGCAACCAUGUGCUGGGCUUUCUCCUUGACGCUUAUAGAAGCAGCAUGUAAGUGGUAUAGAAAACUGAAGCCUUGUUCUAUCUCUUUAUUUACCUACCUUAGUCAGAUGUUUAUUAGUCAAUUUGUGAAAGCAAGAGAUUAUAUACUUUCCCCAACUCACUUGUUAUUAGUGAAGCAAUAAAAGGAUGAGAAAUUAAAGGACUAUAUUAUUCGUUUUAACAAAGAGGCGGUAAGUGUAGAAAAUUUUACAGAUGCAGUUACAUUAAUAGCCAUAAUAGCAAGCCUGUGACCAGGAAUAUUCUAUUACUCGCUUGCUAGGAAUGCACUAAUGACUUUCACCGAGUUACUAUCGAGAGCUCAAAAAUACUCUAAUGCCGAUAAGUUGACCAAUGCAAAAAAAAAAAAAAGAGCAAACCAAGACUCUUAGAAGGCUAAAGAAAAAUAGAAAAGAAAUGAUGAACAGGUUGAAAAUCGAGACAGAAAAAGUAGACUAAGAGACAAAAGGGGACCAAGAAUCCUACAAAGCAGGUAUUAUGGGUACACGUCAUUCAAUGUACUAAGAGAACAACUAUUUAUGCAGAUAAAGGAGCUAGAUUUAUUGUGGAAGCCCAAAGAAAUCAAGACCACACUAAAUCAAAGAGACAGAAGCAAGUACUAUAGGUACCAUAGAGAUCAUUGUCAUAAUACUAAUGAUUGCUUUGAUCUUGAAGAGGAAAUAAAGUCUUUAAUCCAAGGAGCAUAUUUGAAAGACUUUGUAAAAAAGGAAAGCAAGAAAAGUAAAAAGAAUUUUUAGAAGCAUAAACCAUGCCCUCAAAAGUAGGGAGAGCAGCCAUGCUCCCCAUAAAUUAUACUCCCAUGGGAGCAAGUAAAAAAACUAAUAGAAUUCUUGAGGAAAAAGAAAAAAUAGGAAAGUAAAAAAAAAUUGUUACUUUUAUAAAAGUACAUAAAACCAAGUAAGGAGCAAUGAGCAGUAAGGUACUAAAAAGCAAAUACUUUAAUAAAAACAACUGGAACAUGUUUAUUUUACAACUUUAUUACUAAAACAACCUCAUUGCAAGAGCAAUAGAAAAGAAGAAAGAAAACAACUAAAAACUAGGAAGAUAAUAGAAGAGGCAACAUUUAAUUGAUAACGAGCAUCAUCAGUAUUCUAGAAAACGUAAUCAAGUUGAUAGUAGCAGCUCUCAAUCAUGGUCUUAACCUUGGCACCACCUUUUAGAAAUUCUUCAUCAAGGAUAUUCUCAAAAUCAAUAGAAGCUUUGAACUCUUCAAUGGCUGAAGCCUUAAUGCUUAGAAUUAAAAGGUUUAAUUAAUUAAGGGACUUGGACAAUUCUUGAACUUAGGACUGGGACUGAGCUAAUUUUUCGUUUUUAGCAUUAAGUUCCAACUUUAAUUAGGCCACAAGAGCUUUCUUUUCACGUAGAAACUUCUCCAGCUCAUCAAUCUUUUUUUUAGAAGCUUAGUCCGACUCAAGUAAAGCAUUCCUCUCCAGUGUUAGGGACUUUAUCUGUUUUUUUAGUUAUUUGAACAGCACAACCAAGCUACAGGAAGGUGAAUACAGUUAGGAUCUAACUUUAUAUCAAUAAUAGUAACGCAAAAGCAAUAGUAUUACUACUUGAUAAACGUUACAAGCAUGGCUUCAACAGGAUCAGAGUUCUCCAUUUGUCUCAUAUUAUCAGCAGAGACAUACAAAGGUCAAGAUUGAGUAAAAGAGCUCAGAUGUGCUUGAAAAGGAUCUUCCCAAGUAAAGUUCUAUAAACCAUCAAACAAGGGCAAAGUUCCUUGGCUUGGGUCUGCUGAAAGAGAUGUAGACAUAGGAGCGUUGGUGGAAGCAAAUGCAGAGCCAGAACCUGUAGAUUGUGGAUAUAAACCUUCAUAAGUGAAAGUUGGAAAUAAAAUUUCUUGUUGUAAUCAUAGAGCAGUUGCAGGUGUUUUGUGCAACUCUUGAGCAGGUGCAUUAGUGGAAGCAAAUGCAUAAUGAAAGCCAGCAGACUAAGAAAAUGAAGUUUUAAGAGUGCAAAAUAGAAAUAAAGUUUCUAACUGUAACCUUGGUGCAGUUUGAGGAGUCUGGUGCGACCCUUGAGCAGUUGCAAUUUCUUAAAAUGGUGAUCCUAUAGACUGAAAGACUAGUUUAUCCUUAAGUUUCAUACUAAUCUUUGAUGCUAGGUAUUUAUCUUUUCUUUUUUUCUUUUUUCGUGCAACAUCGUCCUAAGAGCCAUAACUAACAGAAGAAGGAAAAAGAAAAAAAAUAUUACGACUUCCCAGUAGAAUAAAAAUUAUUAUGCUUGAAUAAAACUCACUUAGAGAUGAAAUGUUGGUAGAAGUAGAAGGGAUAAAGUCAAAGGCAGUUAGAAAGCCUAGUUGAGAAAGAUAUUGUCAAGACCGCAAGUUUAUAGGGUCUUUAAAAACUUCAUCGACUUGAUAUUGCCCAGCAGGAUCAACAAAGGUGCAGCCCAUAACACUAUAAAAAAGAAACACAAAGAAAAAGAAUAAGUACACUAAUAAAGAAAAAGCAUUUCCUAUAACAAUUCUUAUAAAGCUACCUGGAGUAGAAAAGUGAGUUUGAACCCGAUAUCCAAGAUAUAUAUCAACAGAACUUCCUAGCUCUCAAUCCUCAAAGAUGAAAAGCCAAAAAUCUUUCCAGUAACCAUCAUGAGAUUUAGCCUAGGCGAUUAAAGAAGAAGAUUUAGCCCAAGCACGGACAUAAUGCCAAUCUUUGAUAUGGGAGUUUUUAUCACCUGAAAGACUCAUUAGUUGGUAAAUUCCUUGAAACUAACUAAAUGUGAGGUCCAAAAAGCCCCUCAAUUUCUAUAAGAUGUACAUGUCAAUCAUGGCAAACCAUUCAUGGGGGAAAGGUGUACCAGGACACAGUUCAAGCAAAUCAGCAUGUAACUUGAGAAGAGGUGCAAUGGCAACCUGAUACCAUAGCGAAAAAAAAUCAGGAUGAAAGGCAACGGCCCAGGAGAGGGCUGGUGAUAACUCUAGGAAAUGAGAGUUAUUACAUCAAUUCUAGACUUAAAUCAAGAUCAUUUAGAGAACAAAUAAGAUGUUUUUAUUACAUUUUGGUUAUAUUUUGCAUAAACAUUCAUUUUAGUUGAGUCUUAAUAGUUUUGUUUAAAUCAAAGUAAUUUGUGCUAAAAUCAUGUGCAUAAUUGUAGGUUUUCAAAAAGUCUUAAUUCAUGAAGGAUGGUGACACAGUGGAUGAGCAAGAAGAGGAAAGAAGAUGGUCGUAAAAGAAGUAAAGCACAAUCAGGAAUAGUGUAGUGUUGUAGCGGAUGUUAGAGCAACCAGUGCUGUAUCAAUCUGAGAGCAAUGCGGGAGAAAACUUAGGCGCGAGUCAACACCAUAAUCGUGAUGUGCAUGUUUCCUAAUUUAACUCAUGCACGCCCAUAGACUUUUGUUUACCCUAGUUUUGCAGUAUAAAAGGGAGGCGUGCACCACGUAGAAAGGCGGCAAGGGAAUUAUUAUUAGAAUCAUUAGAAAUGAAAGGAGAAGAAGAUCAGAAUUAAAAAGUGUUGUUCCGGCAACAUUGAGGAGUCUUGCAGAAUUAUUUGGAUUCGUCUUUCAUUAUGCUCAACUUAUAAUUAUCUUCUUCCUUUUAUUGUUCUAAUGUAUCCCAUGAACAACAUAUUUAUGUUUGUUUUCUUAUUCAGAAAAUGAAGUAGAUUUGCUUGUAGUUGAGUGACAAACAAUCCAAUGGGUUCUUGAUUGUUCUUAUGUGUUGUUAUGUCAUUGCUGUAGUAUUUUACGCUAGUAGCUAUUAUUAAUAUAACUAUUAUUUUGGUUGACCACCCAUUUAAUAGUUUCAGCUAAGAUAGAGCAGCAAAAAGGCAUGUCUUAGCGGAUAUUAUUAUAGUAUUACUUGAUCUUAAGUUAAGUUUCCUGUAUUAAGUUAUCUUGAAUCCCAUAAGGGCAAUACUUGAAGUUAAAACUUGUGACACACUAGACAUAGGUGCUCACCUUGUAGGGUGGAGAGAUAAAAAGGGUCAUAAAGCCAUAUCAUAAGUAGAUUAGCAACUAGUCAUUUCUAGUAUAUUUAAGGGUAUGAGAGUUCCAAUAUGCGACAGCUGAGGAUGCAGAUUAAUUCUGCUCAGUGCUGCAGCACUUGCCAUAACAACUGGAGUUAAUUUGAUAAAUAAAACAGUCAGCCGAUAAUGAGAGUUUGAUCAUUCAACUACUAUAAUCUUAAUUGAAUCUUAAACACAUUUAAUUUAGUUUAUUUCAUUACGGUUUUGUUUACUUUAUUCUCUCGCAAUCACCAAUUACGAUAGAACUCAAUUUACUAUUGUUUACUUCGGCCUUAAGUUGAUUUGCACUAUUGUGAUUGCUAUAGCAUUUCAAGUAAUAUCAAUCCCUGUGGAGAUGAUCUUGAAUAUUCAUCACUUUAUUACUUGUUGUAUAUACUUGCACAUUGGCAUUGGUAGCAAUUAAUUAUAAAAAUAACCAACAGCUGGCUAGCGAGCUCACCAAUUUGAGGCUUCCUAAGUUCAACUAAACUUGGAAUUUCAUACUUGACUCUAAGAGAUGGAAUGAAUUUCUCAGAAAUUACAUUCCCCAUCCCAUCAAUGGACUAGUCGGAUUAGACAUUAGUUUGGUCAUCAGAAACAAAUGACGCAGGAGCAAAAUUUACAACAAGGGUUAUGUGGUCAGAGGAUAUAUGAAAGUAAUCAUCAUCAUCUUCAAGGUACUCUUGGUAAAAAGAGUUAGAGUUAUUUUCAGAAUCAGAAGACAUUGAAAUUGCUAAAAAUGAGAAUAAGAUAAGAGACACUCACUAAGUAAAGCGAAAACCAAAGGGUUGAAACUCUAUAAAGUGGACGAAUGGUGCAAAGGAUUAUUUAUAUAGAAAUGAGAAGAAGAGAAACAACUUGAGCUAUUAUGCUUCUGGUGGAACAAAAAGUUAAGAGCUGAGGAGCAGCUGUUGUAGAAAAUAUAAAAUAGUCAAUAAAGUAAAAAGUGACGUCCCCAAGAAUGGGGAGCAAGAAUUACGCUUCCCUAAGAGUAGAGAGCAGCAAAAGCAUGCUCCUACAAGAAUGUGGAGCAGGAAUUAUGCUCCCCAAUGAAUCGGGAGUAAGAAUUAUGUUCUUCUAGGAAUGGGGAGCAGUAGAACCAUGCUCCCCUAAGAAUGGUGAGUAGGAAUUAUGCGCCCCCAGGAAUGAGGAGUAGAAAUUAUACUCCCCCAAAAAUGGGAGUCCGCAGAAUCAUGUUUCCCCAAAAAUGGGGAGCAGGAAUUAUGCUCCCGUAAGAAUAAAGAGCAACAGAACCAUAUUCUCCUAAGAAUGGAGAGUAGGAAUUAUAUUAUCCCAAGAAUAGGGAACAUGAAUUAUGCUCCCCCAAGAAUAGGGAGCAGCAAAACCAUGCUCCUCCAAGAAUCAUGCUCCCCCAGGAAUGGGGAGCAAGAGUGGAGGAUGGCAAAAGUCACGGGUCCAUGGGGCCCUUGACCCAGUUUUAGAUUAUGAACCGUAUAGGAAAAGCCAAGCCCAAAUAAAGAGGCUAUCGCUGAAUCAAGCCUAGCAAAAUAAAGUUGACAAUAGAAGGACAUUGGUUUGUCCAAAAAACAAAUUAAAUAGAGUCUGACACGGAUACAAUUUAUGAAAAGGUAUAAAUAUUUUGUAAUUAGAAUCCUAGAGGAUGGAGGAGAGUUAGAUAGAGUUUAAGUUAGAAAAAAACUUUAUCUAUAAAAGGCUAUAAAACCAAAGGUCUCUCAUAAUGUUAUGCACUAAAAAAACAAAUAUAGUAAAGAGUGGGAGAGUUGAGUUGUACGUGCGAUCUUAAUAAAAUAUUUAUCUUUCUCUGCCCGUGGACAUAAGCCAAAGGUCGAAUCACGUUAAUGUUGGGAUUAUGUGCUCUUUAAAGCAUAUUGAUUUAUUUAUUUUCUUAUUAAUAAAAUAUUUGAGAUAUUUUUCAAAAUCUUAAUUGCAUAAAUAUUUUGAAUAAGGUCCAUUUAAUCAUAUUAUACGUAUUUAUGUGAUCAUCACAUGGAUUCACAGAAGAUAUAAAUAAAAGUUAUUUUAUAAUUAAAUAAAUAAAUUUCGCAGUUGAUAAAUAGAGUUGGGCGCUCUAUUUAUGUUUCGACUGUAGUAAAUUUAUUGAAUUAUUUAUCUUAAUCAUGUAUGAAUUUAGUGAUGUAAUUUGACUACAUUGAACUGGAUCACAUAUGAGAUUUAAUUAACCUUGAAAUGACUGUCAGACUUAUUAAAUCUCAUAGACAUUGAUUUUAUUGCAAUCUUAAUCUUGAGUUAAUUAUAGUUUCAUAUUUGUGAUUAUCAUUUCAUUUGAGUUACCAAUAGGCACAACAUACAUUUGUAGUCAAGAUUACCCGGUAUCUUGGUGAAAGCAAUUAUGAGUAGUGAGAUUAUAAAUUAGCAAUAUAAAAUUUGUACAACACAUCUCUUAACGAGUUUUCGAUAUUGAUCAUAGAAUUCUCUGGCCAGAGUGUGUCAACAUAAUUAGUAUGUUAAAAAUGAUCAUUAGAGAAAACCAAUAAGUGUCAAAGAACAAGAUGUAAUUAGAUUGAUUGGACAGUUGAUAUAUCAAUUUCAUUAGUGAUGUGGUACAAAAGAUUGUUUGGUAAGGAAAUUAAUGUAGCGUGGGUCAAAUUAUUAUUUGAGAACAUUAUUUUAGAUAACCUACAAUUAUGGAGGUCAGUUUCAAUCUUUUAGUAGAGUAAAUUUAGAAUUUUAAUAAUUGGGCUAAUUUCGUUACAGACCUAAUUAUUGUAGCCACUAUUGUAUAUACUCAUAUGAUCUCUGGGUUAGUUAAUUUAAUUGACUGUACGGCUAUUGGAUGAAAAACCAAGAUAACUAGCCAUUUGGGUUAAAAGCCUAAAUAUAUUAUUUAGUGGGAGACUCAAUUUAAUGUACUUAUGUGUAAUGAGCCUUUUGUUAUUUUAUAAGGUCAACCCCCAUAACAAAAGCAAGAAACCCGACUUUUAGUUUUAUUAUUUUUUAAUUUAAAUCAAAUUUUAUUUAAUAGAAUAAAAAAAGAAUAUAAAUAUGAAGCCUAUGGUUUCCACCAAAGAGAGAUAUAAAAAAAGGGCUUGUUUUCUCUAAAAGAGACGGUAGCCACAAUAUACAAAUCAGAGAAAAAAGGCGACCACACGUCAAGUGCAUAUCAAACUUGAGUCAUAACCUAGAAGAUCAUUUGGUGACGAAUCGUGAUCUAACAAAAGUGGUGGUGACAUCAUGAUUUGGGAGCCUAGAUUACUUCAGUGAAAAAGUAAAGGUAUGAUUUCUAUAUUAUGGUAAUUUUAUAUAUUGUAUAAGAAUUGUGAUCCAACUAUUUUCACUGCAAUUUUUUUUCAAACCAACAAUUAAUUCUCUGUGUUUUUUUAUUUUAUUGCUUCCAUAUAAAUUAAUUCUAUAGUUGACCAGAAAUUUACGUCAAUAGUACCAAAUACCAUUUUAUACUCUUCUUAAGGUUUUUAAUCGUUUUGAGUUCAAAAAUGUCAUUCGUUUUGUUAUCUGAUUUCUCAUUAGUUGUGAAAUGAUCAAAAUAUUCCUGAAUAAAUAAAAUACUUAAAUUAUAAUAAAAUACAAAUAAUAAAAGCAUAAAGCAUUUAAGCAUGUCAAAGUGAAAAUGUUAGUGAGACUUGGAGCAUAAAAUGAUAAUUUCACCAUGUAUAAACAUGCAUUCUCCAGUACUUGGCACCAAUUUUGUUCAUAAACCCAUGUUUAUCCUUGAGUUAAAGGUAUCUAAAGAUAAGACUAUAGUUGUAGCAUCUUAGAUGCUUUUAUUGUAGCAACUUUGAUUUGUGCAUUGAUUUAGUAAUUAAGUGCCAUCAUUACAAGUGAUAGGCAUUCACAUGAAAAAAAUUGAUGUUUCACUGUAAAGAAUAUAAAUAAGAAAGCUUAAAAAAAAUUUGAUGAUGAAUGAUGUAGCACAAUUUGCAACUCUUUAUAACCCAUGUCGCCUUGUAAAUCAAAAUGUUUUUUAUCAUUUUAUCUUUGAGAUGUAUAUGAUGCUUUAGUAUUGUUGUAGCAACUAUGAAACUUGAUUGAAAUGACAUACACACACUUGAUAGAAUUAAACCCAAGUUGAGAACUAGAACUGUUGAUGGUGACUUUGCAUGUUUAAGAAUGAAAUUUGAAGAUUGCUGAAUCAAAGCAAUCUAAAUAGCAAAACUAAGUUGUUUAAUGUUUGAAUGUGUGAUUAGAGUGCUUAUUCGUUGUCAUUACUUGAGAACAAGUAAUGGUUUAAGUUUAGGGGUGUGAUAACUCUAUAAAAUGAGAGUUAUCAUGACAUUUGUAGGCUUAACUAGCAUUAACUUAGAGAGUAAAUUAUGAAUUUUAUCCCAUUUCUAGUUACAUUUUGCAUAAGUAUCUAUUUCAAUUUAGUUAUAACAGUUUGAUAUAUUUUAGACUAUUUUGUGCUCUGAUUAAGUGCACCAUUGUAGGUGACUCAAAAGCUUAUGCCUUGUUGAUGGAUGCUUUAGAAGAAGGACUGCAUUGCUGCAAUAAUAGGCCUGCAAAAAAAAGACAAAAAACUAGUCUGCAUAUGAAUAAAAAUAAGUUUGAACCAGAGAGAAUGUUGUAGUAAUUGCUACAACAAUCCAAGAUCAAAUAUAGACAAAAUUAUCCAAACUUUCACCUGCUAAUAGACAAAUUCUAUUGCAGCCAUUACUGUGUUGCCACUGUCAUGUGCAGACAAAAUAGUCGCAAGCAGCACAAAAAGGAAUGUGGUCUUAAGAUGCAAAGAAAAAGACAAAUAUCCUCAUGCUUUUUUGUUGCCCUAAUUAUAAGAAAUAAAAGAACACAUUUUAAAGAAAAUACAAAGGACAACUAAUAGACGCAAAUAGAAUAAAAAGAGAGAAUUCAGAGCUGCAACAGAGGCAUUUUUCGUGAAGAAUGAAGAGAAAUAACUGAAGAUUAAAAUGUGACAUUUUGGUUUUUUUUGUAUCUCAACUUUUUCUUAUAUUUGCUUGUUUUGUUCUCUCUUUGGCAAUGUAUUUAAUGGCAAACAUUUGUGUUGUUACCGUUUUAAAGCUCAUCAUGAGCUAAACUUUGAUUUAGUUGGGUUUUAAAUAAUUAAUAGUUAGGAAAAUUUGUAACAUACCCCCAAAUAAAUUGACAUUUCGUACAUCCGCCUUGGCCGUACAGCAGCCAAAUAAAUUGACAUUUUGCACCGCGUCCCCAACAAAUUUAACUUGUUGCACCACGCACCCAAAAAAAUUGACAUUUUGCACUACGCCCCCAAUUCCGUUAAUUUUUCAGUUAUUUCUAACGGCUCCAUCUAACUUUUGAUUGAAUGACAAAAAUGCCCCUCUAUGUAAAAAAAUAAAAUUUUUAGCUCAUUUAAUUUUUUUAAGGUUUUUUUUUCAAUUGCAAUAAAAAAACAAUUCUUCUUACAUGUUCAUUGUCACCACUAUUAUUUUUCCUUUAAUUUUUUAAAGAUGUUUUUUCAAUUUUAAUAAAAACAAUUCUUGUUACAUGUACAUUUGUCACCACUAUUAUUUUCCUUUAAUUUUUUUAAGAUUUUUAUUUUAAUUGUAAUAAAAAAAUUUCUUGUUACAUGUACAUUGUCACCACUAUUAUUUUUUCUUUAAUUUUUUAAAGAUUUUUAUUUCAAUUUUAAUAAAAAAAAUUCUUUUACAUGUACAUUUGUCACCACUAUUAUUUUCCUUUAAUUUUUUUAAGAUUUUUAUUUUAAUUGUAAUAAAAAAAUUUCUUGUUACAUGUACAUUGUCACCACUAUUAUUUUUCCUUUAAUUUUUUAAAGAUUUUUAUUUUAAUUGCAAUAAAGAAAAUUCCCAUUAAAAUUAAUUUAAGGAAUAAACUUCCGAUUUUACCCCUCCACCGUUAAACUUAACUGAGAAAAUAACGGAAUUGGGGGCGUGGUGCAAAAUGUCAAUUUGUUUGGGUGCACAGUGCAACAAGUCAAAUUUAUUGGGGACGCUGUGCAAAAUGUCAAUUUAUUUGGGGGUAGGUUACAAAUUUCCCUAAUAGUUAUUUGACUUAUAUGUGUAUAUUGCUCAUAACAUGCUAGCAUUUUAUUUUAAUUUUACUUAUUACAAUUUUGUAUUUCAAUUUGACUACCCAUUUAGUAGAAAGAGCCUAACAAAUGUUUGACUUAGUUAAACAAAUUAAAAAAAUACAUGGUUUUAGAUUAGGUUUCCUAAGUUGAGUUAAUCUCGAUUUAAAUUGGGUCAUACUUAAUUUAAAAUUAGUAAAAGCAUAUAAUGUUAUAUCUAAUGUUAGUUUAACAACUAGUCACUGUUAAAUUGCAUAUAAAUAUAAGAUAUCCAAAAUUCGACAGUUGAUGAUGCAUUAGAGAUUCUGUCAAAUGUUGUAGUAGUUGCUGUAGCAAUUGUGCCUCAAUUGAAAGAUAGUCAAUAACCAGUAAGUGAGUUUAAAACCCAACUAUCCCUUUGCCAUUGAAUGUAUCUUUGUCUUUCACUUUUAAUUCUCUUUAUUGCAUUCUGUUUAUUGUAUUCUUAAUUUCAUUAGGUCAUUAAUCUCAUCAUUUAUUUUGUUUUAUUACUAAAAUUGCACUGUCAAGAUUGUUGUAGCAAGUCCUAUAACAUCAAUCACUUUGGAGAUGAUCUUGAUACUCCUCAUUUUAUUACUUGUUGUGUACCUUUGCCAUUGAAUGUAUCUUUGUCUUUCACUUUUAAUUCUCUUUAUUUCAUUCUUUUUAUUGUAUUCUUAAUUUCAUUAGGUCAUUAAUCUCAUCAUUUAUUUUGUUUUAUUACUAAAAUUGCACUGUCAAGAUUGUUGUAGCAAGUCCUAUAACAUCAAUCCCUGUAGAGACGAUCUUGAUACUCCUCAUUGUAUUACUUGCUGUAUACACUUGCACAUUGACACACUUUAUCAAAAUUGUUCUAGUUUUGGACCUAGAUCAAUAUUUAUAAUACUAUAUCCAAAUUUAAACCCAAAUUUUAUCCUUCGAGUUUGGUCUAGGUUAAAAUUUAAAAAAAAAAUCUAUGUUUUUGGAUUCUGGGUUAAACCCAGAAAAAUCUGGAUUUCUAGAUUUUAGGUCACAACCCAGAUGGUUGUUCAAGUUUCCAUCUUUUUUUUCUCAAUCAAUUCAAUUUUAGAUCUCUAAUCUGUUAACAACAAUAAACAAAAAAUAAUUUGAAAUCAAAUAACUAGAAAAAAAAAACUAAGAACCCAAAGUAUACAAAUUCAAUUUUCAAACUUAAUCAUGUUACAAGCCAUCAAGUUAUAGAGAAUGAGUUGAUUCAUAAAUAAAUCAUGCAAUGGAAACUGUAAUGACGAUCGAUGACUUUUUUAAGUAAGCUUCUAAAAUUACGAUUUCUUGAUGAUGAUUAAUGAUUGAUGAUAAAUUAAUGAUAAGGAGAAAAAUAUUAGAGAAAUAAGUAAAAAAAAAAAACAAUUUGGUGCUACACUACUAUGCUAAAUGGACCGAAACUCACUAACUUCAAAGAAAGUCAAACCAAUGAAGAUGAAAAAGAAAGGCAAUGCAACAAAGACGAAUGGCAAAUCACAAAUGGGGUGUUUAAUUGAAGACGAAUUGAUGAUGCUUGAUAAUGAUGUCUUGAUGAUGAUGAUGACAAUUGAUGAAUUUGGAAUUUGUGGGGUUAAAUCUUUAAAAAUGUUAGGGGAGAGGAGAAAUGGCAACUGCAAUCCUUUAGGGUUUUUUUUUUAUUUGUUUUAUACUUAAUUAAUUAUUUAAUGAAUUUUAAAAUAGAAAAAUCUGGCUUUUGGUUUAAGUGAACCUGGAGUCAUACCUGAAUAUUUGGGUUUAGAAUAUCACUGUCAGAUUUGGAUUAUUUUAACAUCCAACCAGGGUUAAAGCAUAUCUAGAUAAUCCAGGUUUGUCCGGAUCUAGGCUAGGUCCAAGUUAAUUCACCAUCCCCACGUUUGUUGAAAUUUUGCUUAAAUUGGGCAAAGUUAGGAAAAAAUGAAAGAAUAUUAGUUAAUGCAUCAUAAGCUAAUGGCACUUUAUACCAUCUCUUCUUCCAAUAACAAUAUGCACUGCCCACAUAGGUUUUUCAAACUGAAAAUGUUAUAUUUAGACAUAUACAUGAGCUCAAUUUAUUUCAAUGGUUUAGCAAUAACUUACUUGGAAAAAGAAUUGAGUCCCUUGUAGAAAAAACCAGAAUAUCAGCAAAAGAAACAAUAUUGUAUUGUCCUAAUGCUGGAAUGCAUCAGUGCAUCACGAUCAAAGAAGAUGGACUUGUAAUGCAGAUUAUCCUAGUAGGUGAUCCGCAUCUAUUUGACCAUCAAAAUUGUCCAUGGUCAUCUUUCGAUCGAAGGAUCUAGCCAGGUUGAAGUUGGGGCCUUUGAUGUUUCACUCACUAUCAUAGGAAAAGAAAAUGAUGGAGUUGUAGGAGAUGUUAAAGGAAGAUGAAAGUGUGUUUAUGUUGGCCUUGUUAGUGAAUUAAAGGAGAUCAUAGGGUGAUUUGGCUAAUACGAGGUUUUAGUUAGUGGAUAGAGUUUGGCUUUUGACAGAGACUCGGAGCUAUGAUUGAAUUAGGUUUUUAAAUUAUGUGAUUGUGAUGCUGUGACGCGCUCAAAGCCAUCUCUGCUGCAGAUGCGAAAUAGCAUGUUUGGUGUAGAUUUAGGGUUUUGAAUUGAGUUAACCAAGGUACAGGCAUUUUUCAUAACUAUACUUGACUCUAUCUCUAUGUAAAAAGCACAACACAAGUACUUUACUUGGAGUGAAGAGUGAAUUUGGUGAGAGAACCUUUUAAAAUGUAGAACUUUUGUGUUUCUUAUGAAGAAAGAAAGGAAGAAAGAGAAAGGGACAUUCUCUAUGUAUACAUACAAUUCUCUUACCCCCUGAGUUUCAAUCGUGAAAUAGACGACACCGUUUAGUGUUUGAUUGAAUACUAGUGUUAUUUUUUAAAAAUUGAUUCAAAAUUUUUUUUACCAAACACUUAGUAAUAAAAAUAAUUUGCCUUAAAAACUACUAAUACUAAUACCAAACCUUAUCCCAAAAAAAAAAUCCAACUUAAAAUAAAAAUAUUAUAGAUAGAUACCAAAUUUUAGAGUAGGCAAAAAAGUCUAAGCCCAUGGGUUUUAGGCUCGACCUACAUUAUAAGGACCUAAUCAUGGGCCGAAAAAUUUAAAGCUUGUAAGAAUGGGCCUAGUUAUACGCUUAUGAGAAAAGCCUGGGCUUAGCUAGGCUUUAUAUUUUAUAAAAUAAAAAUUAAAAAAAUUAUAUUUUAUAUAUUAUGAGCUUUAUAUUUUAUAUUUUAUAUUGAUUAAAAACAUGAGCCAUACUUAUGAUGUAGUUAUGUAGCCUUGCAUUAUGAAUUUUUGUAAAAUUGGUGUUUGAUUUGUUGCAAUUGAAUUAUCAAAUUGUAUCUCUGUAAUUUUGAAUAAACUUAUGGAUAAGGUGAAAACAUGGGGAAAAAAGAAAAACUUGGAAAAAAUAACAGUAGUUUUAGUUGUGCUUGUGUAAUGAGUUUCAAAAGACUAAAACUUAUAUACCCAGAUAAUAAAAGAUUAAGAAUUCACAGAGUUGAAAUAAAGUUAUAACUUUAGAGACAAUUAAUUUUAACCCACAAAAAUCCUUGCAGCUCCUAGUGAGUUAAUUUUUUAGUCUAUAUCUAUAUCUAAUUCCAUCAACAAAGUAAAACUAGUACAAAAAAAGGAGUCACAUGCAUAAUAUUGUUCGUGGCAAUCCAAACCAUAGAACCUAAGUUUUGUACUCAAAAUUACUCAUCCCUACUAGAUUUCUUAAUUGAUAUUCAAUAAGGUUAUAAGCUCAAAAUGAGUCCGUAAUAUCCACCAAUGGUCAGAGCGCUGACUUGAAAUUUUACACAUUGGAUUAUUACUAUACUAUGUAUUAGAUAAUCCUCUUUUAAUUUAAGCAUUUUUGUUUUUGUUUUUUCUUUUAGGUUAAUUUUAAAAAAUGUUAGAAGUCCAAACCCAGCCCAAGCCCGUGAUGUAUGUAUGCAUGUGUAUGUGUGUAUAUAUAUAUAUACAAUAUUUCUAUUAUCCGAAUGUCCGAAUAUUAGUUAUCCUCUGCAUGUUGAAUAUAAGCGGUUGGAUCAAAUUGAGUCAAUCCAACACUCUUAAAACCUUUGCGUGCUAAACUAGUAAAGUUCAACAAAUAUUAUAUUGAUUUAUUGCCGUAAAAGAACCAUUGUUAUAUAACUAGUUGUCUAUUAAAUUGUGUUACUGUAAAAUCCGGUAAAAUAUAAAUUUAUUUAAAUAACUUAUCCCAUGUGAAGUCUUGUCAAGUCAAUAUACUAAUUAUCAUGAAUGUAAUCAAGCGCUCUUUCUUUUAUUGUUGUUUCAUGAUUUUUUUAAAAUUAUAUAUUUUAUUUCUAUUUCAUUGCUCAAUUCUUAUAAAUAUUCUACAUCUUUCUAAUUAAACCGCAUUAAUUUUCUCAAUUAAUUUACAAUCCUCUUUUCAAAAAAAAAAAAAUUACUAUUCACUGGCAACCAACUCAUUGAAUGACAUUCAACUAUAAAAUUAAAAAAGUUAAUAAAAGACAAAUGGGAAUAUAAGGUAAAUUAAUUGAAGAAUAUUUAACACUCAUUAAGUACUGUAAAAUUUAAUUACAGAAGAAAAAAAUUCUAAUUUGCCCAAACAUUUUAGCUAAGCCCAUGGUCAGAAUAAUAACCAUGAUUUCUCAAAUGAAUCCAAAGUAACCCAGAUCUUGACCGUCAUUCAUCUGUAGUCAACCACACAUGCAUGAACAAAUAAUUAAUUAGAUUCUUACUUCAUAUUCACAAAUGUCAAUACAACAAAAUAUAUUUAUAGCUAUGUCAAAGACCAUGUACCUGUAGAGGAGGAGCUUUCAUCAAAACUAUCUGCAUCAUCCAAUAAAGAAGACCUAUGUGAAGUAAAAAUAGAGUAAAAAAAUGUUGUAUAAUAAUUAUAUGUUAAGUUAAACAUGCUUACCGAUUUUUGAGCAUUGGACAAUUUCUUUUAUCAUGUGAUUGUCCAAUUUUUCCACAUCCAUGACAACGCCUGUUUUUAUCCUUAGCUCGUGCCUUCUCUUUUCUUUUUUUCAGCCUUUUUCCACACCCUUUUGCCCUAACUACAAGUGGAUCAUUCAAUACAUGUUGGUCAGUACACUUGUUUUUCUCCAUAGUUUUUGGAUCCUGACUUACAAUUGACUUAAUCUUCCGAAGUGAAUUUUCGAAAUCAUCCAUCAAUAUCUUACUUGCCUCCUCACUAAUGACAGCCUUAUCAAUAACAUUUGAAGCGAGUUGAAAUAAUGCAGUACGUCUCAUGAGAAUUGAAUUCUGGAAACAAUCUUCUAUUUCUAAACCACCAUCACCAAUGACUUUAUCACAUCUUGCAGAUUUUGUCCAUCUCUUCAGUAUGUAUUGAUCUGGCAAAUAUGUAAAUUGCUUUCUAUGAAAAUAAGCUAAAAUAUGUUUACAUGGAAUUCCUUUACUCUCAAACUUCUUACAAAUACAUGAAGCAAAAUCUAAAGUUUUGUCAAACAAAACUUCGUGCACAUCAUCAUCUUCAUUCUGGUUCACAACUUUGUACACACAAUGAUGAGCAUCUUCUUUUACAAGUUCGAUUUUAUGUUGCAAACUAUCCCACAAUUCAUCUUGAAAUUUAUAAAAAAUUUCACGUGUGUAAAGACUAACCAUUUGCUUCUCCAUCUUCAAAGGCAAUUUCAAAGUAGGUUUUUCAUUGAUGUCUGCAUGAUUAGCAUUUAACUCUUCAUGUCUUUGGUGAUUAAGUGCUCUAUUAAAUCGUAUCAUAAAAUCCAAUAAUGAAUUUUUUUUAGACACGUACCUCUUGAAGAAAGAAUGACAGCUCUCUGCUCGUUGACUGCUGGACAUUCCAGCAGAAAAGACAUGAUUCACACAUGCAGGCACCCAUUUUGAACGAAUUUCAAAAACUGAUUUUAGCCAUGCAUUAUCACGUAGCUUGCCUUUUUCUAUAAUCUCCAGCCAAUUUCUAUCAAAAUCAUCCCUACUCAAUGACUUCCAAAUGCAUUUUUGAAAAUCAGGAUAACAAUCCUUAUGCUUGAUUGCAUGAACCUUAUCAGAAAAUUUAUUUAGUAUGUGUCAGAUACAAUACCUAUGAAAUGUAUUUGGAAGAGUUUCAGAAAUGGCUUUCGUUAUAGCUGGAUCUUGGUCAGUAAUAAUCAUUUUUGGUAGAUCACCAGGCAUAGCUUUUUUAAAUUGCUCAAACAACCAAACAAAAGACUCAGUAGUUUCAUCGCUUAAGAAUGAACAAGCAAAGACAGUUGUCUGGCCAUGGUUAUUAACCCCGAUAAAUGGUGCAAAAAUCAUACCAUAUUUAUGGGUAUUAUAAGUAGUAUCAAAAACCACCACGUCACCAAAAGAAUUAUAACCCCUUCUAGAUGUUGCAUCAGCCCAAAAACAAUGGGUAAUUCUAUUUUCAUUAUCGGACUCAAUUGUAAAAGUAAAUGCUGAAUUUUUCUCUUUUUCCAACUGAAAAUGCUCUAACAACAUAUCUGCAUCAUGUCCUUUCACUUUAUUCUUGGAUUUCGUUUCAUCGUUAUAUAAAUCUUUCCCAAGACAUCCAAUAUUUUGUAUACCUCCACCUUGCAACUCAAGGACACUAAUUUGUUGAUGUAUUGGUAUAUUAGCUGCUGCUAAUUGAUGAGUCAAUGAUCUUUUUACUUCUGACACAUUACGAUGAGAUCUUAAAAGGUGUACUCUUCGGGGUGUUGUUAAUGGGUGGUUAUGAUCCUCUUCAAAUACGCUAACUACAUAAGUUCCCGAUUUAGACUUAACCACUGCUAGUUUUGCCUUACAACCCUCUCUCACUUUACUGCAUCGUCGUUUUUUUUCAACUACUUCUUUAGUGGUUGCCCCUUCUUUAGAGCAUACAUACUCCUUCCUUACAAUUUCGCCUNNNNNNNNNNNNNNNNNNNNNNNNNNNNNNNNNNNNNNNNNNNNNNNNNNNNNNNNNNNNNNNNNNNNNNNNNNNNNNNNNNNNNNNNNNNNNNNNNNNNNNNNNNNNNNNNNNNNNNNNNNNNNNNNNNNNNNNNNNNNNNNNNNNNNNNNNNNNNNNNNNNNNNNNNNNNNNNNNNNNNNNNNNNNNNNNNNNNNNNNNNNNNNNNNNNNNNNNNNNNNNNNNNNNNNNNNNNNNNNNNNNNNNNNNNNNNNNNNNNNNNNNNNNNNNNNNNNNNNNNNNNNNNNNNNNNNNNNNNNNNNNNNNNNNNNNNNNNNNNNNNNNNNNNNNNNNNNNNNNNNNNNNNNNNNNNNNNNNNNNNNNNNNNNNNNNNNNNNNNNNNNNNNNNNNNNNNNNNNNNNNNNNNNNNNNNNNNNNNNNNNNNNNNNNNNNNNNNNNNNNNNNNNNNNNNNNNNNNNNNNNNNNNNNNNNNNNNNNNNNNNNNNNNNNNNNNNNNNNNNNNNNNNNNNNNNNNNNNNNNNNNNNNNNNNNNNNNNNNNNNNNNNNNNNNNNNNNNNNNNNNNNNNNNNNNNNNNNNNNNNNNNNNNNNNNNNNNNNNNNNNNNNNNNNNNNNNNNNNNNNNNNNNNNNNNNNNNNNNNNNNNNNNNNNNNNNNNNNNNNNNNNNNNNNNNNNNNNNNNNNNNNNNNNNNNNNNNNNNNNNNNNNNNNNNNNAUCAUUAUUCUGCUGUACGGCCAAGGCGGAUGUACGGUACAGCAGAAACCAGUUAAAAUUAAAAAAAAUGAAAAAGAAAACAAAAAAAAUAAAAAUCAAGGGCCUGUUCUCCCUGGCCCAUUAAGCAAUAACCCUAAAAAUGUGUUUGGGAGUGAAGUGUUGUAACUUUUAAGUUGCAGCUGUUAUGGAGUAAAAGCUACAGUUGUGGAGUAGAAGUUGAGAAAACAAAUUUACUAAACUGUCAAAGUCCAGCUACAAGUAUUACCAAACACCUUAAUAGCUGGAAUUUGACAGCCCAACUUCCUCACUACACUCCCAAAUAAGUUAAAGUGUUAAACAAAACAAAUUGAACAAACACCAGCCGCCCACCGGCCAACCGUGCGUCAAACAGCCAACACCAGGCACUCCGGCACACCCUCAGUCCUCGCUGCCUCACUCACAGCCAUCAUCACUGCCGACCGUCACAAGCCCAGCACUGCAGCAGCCAACAAGCAACCACGUGAGUCUCAAGGCCAGCACGCGACGAACCUAGCAACAGCAGCGGCUACAGCGCAACACACGGACGCCAACAGCAACGAACCCACUCUAAGCCUUGAAUCCACCAUACCCACGAGAUCUACUAAUCUUUGAGAUAGAAAUAAUCAGCGCCAGUUUCGAUUUUUUCUCUUGUAGAAAAAAAUUUGCUUUCUGUAUUAAUUUUGAAUACACACACAUACAUAUAUGCUAAUGUGAUUAUAAAGUUGCAAUUAUUUGUUUCCUUGUUUUUGUUUUUUAAUUUUGGGCAAAGUUACAAUUUGCUGGUUUAUUGCUUUUCUCAUUGAUUAGGAAGCAUCACUGCAUUAGUGUCGAUUUUUAAAUUGCAUUACAUGUUUAUGCAUUUUGAUUUUCAACAAAUUUGAAAUUGUAACAUUUAUAAUUAAACAGAAUGAGAAAGGUUUGCUGGCAUAAUCUUUCUAGCCAAAUAAUUCUAAAAAGAUUAUUUAUGGUUUAUUAGGUUGUGUUACAAGUAUUUUGUAUGUUGGAUAAUAGGACUCAACUACUUUGCAACAAUUGUGAGGUACCACUUGAUUUUGUUUUUUUGUGAUUUUAAUUAUUGGUCAUUGAAUUUAAUAAAAAAGUAAAUUCAAGGGUAGAGAUUCAUUUAUUUGAAUGUUAACAUUAUACUCCUGCUAUUUAUAAAAAACACAAAAGAACUAAAGAAUUAAAACUUUUAGCACAUACGUCCAAAUUGUUUAAAAUUUUAUGUUGUUUAAUUAGUAGCGAGUCUAAAAAAAUAAAUUUUAUUUUAAUAUUAUAUAUUUUAUUUAAAAAUUAAUUUUUAAUUUCAUUUAGUUAUUAAAAAAUACUGCUGUACCGUACAUCCGCCUUGGCCGUACAGCAGAGGAGGNNNNNNNNNNNNNNNNNNNNNNNNNNNNNNNNNNNNNNNNNNNNNNNNNNNNNNNNNNNNNNNNNNNNNNNNNNNNNNNNNNNNNNNNNNNNNNNNNNNNNNNNNNNNNNNNNNNNNNNNNNNNNNNNNNNNNNNNNNNNNNNNNNNNNNNNNNNNNNNNNNNNNNNNNNNNNNNNNNNNNNNNNNNNNNNNNNNNNNNNNNNNNNNNNNNNNNNNNNNNNNNNNNNNNNNNNNNNNNNNNNNNNNNNNNNNNNNNNNNNNNNNNNNNNNNNNNNNNNNNNNNNNNNNNNNNNNNNNNNNNNNNNNNNNCAGUUUAUUUUCAAAAUUAAAUAAUAUUUAAUAAAAUAGAAUAAGCAAUUGUGAGUCCUAAAAAAUAAAUAUUAUUUAUUUUAUUUAAAAGAAUAAAUUUUUAAUAUUUUUAUUUUAUUAAAAAUAUUAUUUAAUAUUAUCUAGUCAUAGGCUUAUUGUUAUAUUUAUUCUUUUAGAAAGUUAAAUAAUAUUAAAUGAAAUAAAAUUACAUUUUAGCAUAUCGCCAACUAAAGCACAUAAAUUUAUAAAUAAAUUAUAAAUAAAAAAGUAAAUAAUAUUAAAUAAAAUAAAAUUAUAUUUUAAAAAGUCACCUGUCAAAAUACAUAACAACAUAAAUAAAUUGUAAAUAAAAAGGAAAGUAAGAGGUUCAAUUAAAUUUGACAUUACAAAAGACAAAAAUGGGUGGUAGCUUGCAACUGUUGCAAGGUAGCUAGACCCUGGAUAAUAUAAUCAUUUAUAAUUUAAGCUUUUAUUUAAGUUUAUAGUUUUAUUAAAAAUUUAUAAUAAAAAAAUUAAAGAUGGGCUUUUGUGGGCCUGGGCUUGCACCCGGCCCAGGCCCGCAAAUUGCCUCACAAAAUCUGAACGGUUUGCCUUUGGUUCGAAUCUAAAAUCGAACCGUAUGCAAAAACCGAGCGGUUCAAGCAAUAACAACCGGCCCCAAUAAACAAAAUCCCUAAACUUCGAAAUGCCUCGCUGUCUCUAAUUCGUAAAUCCCCUACUGUCUCUAAGCACUAAGCGGUGGCAGCCCCUCUCUCAGGCCUCAGCAGCACCAGGACGCCGACGGCGGCACAUGCAGCACGUGCAGCAGCAGCCCAGCAAAGCAGCACCACGCGCAGCAGCAGCUCGCUCACUCUCUCUCUCUCUCAGCACGCAGUCACAUACAGCUGCAGCAGCCCCUUUCUCACGCCCCCUCUCACUCUCUCCGUCUCUGGUCACCAUCUCACCCUGCUGUCUCAGCUGUUGCCGUUGCAGCCGCGUUCAGCCGUUGCCAUCCUGCUGGCCGCCGAAGACAGUGAGUUGAGACUUAUUUUUUUAUUUUUCAUUAUUUUUUUCCUGAAUUGAAUUAGUCAAGUUAAUUGAGUUGUGAGUAAUACUGUAAUAAUUCAAUUUAAUAAAAUUUUCAGCAAAUGUUUUAAAUUUUCUUUCAUUCCGCAUCCAUAGUAUUUAUUUGACUUGAUUUCUGUCAUGGUGUUAUUUGUGUUGUUGCAAUGCUGCUGAUGACAUUGGACGUGGAUAAUUGUUGUUGCAAAAAGUUUUGCAAUGUUGAUGAUGAAAUUUUGUUGGUUAGUUUAAAACAGAUGCCGUAUUGGUUUGUUAAUUUCAUUUCUUGUCAUGGAAAUGUUGAUGGUAAUGAAACUUUUGGAGUUGCUUUUAUAUCCGACAAUGUGAUAUUGGGAACUUUUGAUGUUCUGUUGUUAUGUAAUUAUGGAUUUAUGAUUUGUGGUGAAUUUUCUAAUUAUGUGUGUUUGUGAAUUGUGACUCUGUUACGUGUUCGGACUUUUGUUUUUUGUUUUGAAUUGAGUAUUUUAAUUAUGUGUGUUUGUGAGCUGUGACUUUGUUGGGUGUUGGGAUUUUUGUUAUUAUAUUUUGAAUUGAGGACUUUAUAUUCAGUGUGUAGAUGCGUAGUUAGUAGGUGAAAAGCAAAAACUGUAAAGUUCAGUUAAUACAGUUGAAAAUGAAAUUGUAAAUGAGAGCUGCAAAAUCUGUCCAGAAAAUGAAACUGAACUGAAAAUGGAGAACCGAUCGCAGCCGAAAUGUUUUGCUUCUGUUCGGCUCUAAUGUUCAGCUCGGCCUUGGUUCUCAUUAUCCAGAACUGAUUGGUUUUGGUUUGGUUCGGUUCUGACCAGAACUGGAAUGAGAACCGCCCACCCUACUGAAAAGCUGCAACUGUAGAGUCCAAAAUGCUCAGCUGAAAAAACUGAAAUGAACCAAACUGAACCAACUUCAGUUUGGUUCGAAAAUUCAGUUCGUAUUCAAUUUUUGAAGCCGAACUGGAUUCUGCCCACCCCUAAAUUCAUUUCUGUUUUGAUAUUUACUGCUUUUAUUCUUUUAAAUUGGGUUGAAAUCAUUGAAUUAUAUUAGUAUUUAUUUAAAUCUUUGAUACAACCCUUACAUUAGAGAUGAACCAUUGCUUACUUGGUGAUUGAUGACCACACUUACUGAUUAUUUUGAGUUUAUAUUUUGAUUAUAGUGUGAUUAUUCUUACUCCUUUUUGGUUUAUUACGGGCAGUAAAAGCAAAUUCAAGUCAGUAAAUAAAUAUGUAAAUGAUUUUUUUUUUUUUGCAUGUAUUGUGUGUAUUAGGUGUUUGAUUAAUUGCCUCAAAGAAGUAUCUUUGAUAGAAAACAAGCAAUUUUUGCCAUCUGUGCAUAUGAACUUGUGAAAUAAACUACAGAAUUACUAGCUGCUUAGUGUGUUGAUUAAUUGUGCAUAUCAAGUGAAUUAUUGAUGGACCAUGAUUAUUCAAAAGUGUAUUAAGUGAAAAUUUCACCAUGUGUUUACUUCUAAAUUUUGAUGGUUUAAACAUGCCUAAGAUAAUUGCCUCCUUUGAGAUUACUAGCAUCAUUGUUUCAAGUAGAGUGGGUAAUCCUCUAGAUUCUGAAGUUAUAAUAUUAUGUUAUGCUAAAUUAAUUAGGUAAGUGAAUUUCAUGGACCAUUACAAAGUUUGAAAAAUAGAUUUAUUCUGAAGGUUUAUUAAAUGAAAUGAGCCUAAUGCCUUGAGUUAUUUCUUAAUUUAUAACCAGGUUUGGGACUACUUUGUAGUAUAUUCCGACUCUCUCUCUUAUUGCUAGAAAAAAGUAUAACCAUAUAAGCAAUGGCUACAAAUACAAGCACGGAAGAUCAAAGAAAACGCACUAUGGAGGCAUUGGAGCGAAGGUUUGCAACUGCGAAAGCUGAGGCGCUUCAACAAGUGAAGCAUGGGAAAAAGAGAUCACUCAACGAUGAUGAAAUGGAAACUCCUGCGACAAAUUCUUCACAUAUUGCUUCCUCACCGCAUGUAACGGAUAGAUCAGCUGCUAACACCCCGAAAUCCUUAUCUAAGAAAGGUUGGCAUAUUUCAGUUGCUUAAAAUUGGAUAUUGUACUCAUGGUUUCCAUUUUCACUUGCUUCUUGAGUUCUUUUUUCUAAAUUCAUUCUUUGCUUUCUAGAAAUUGUGCAGUUCAUUGUGGAGUAUAAAGUGUCCUACAUCAUCUACUAUAUUUCAUUUUGAUCAUUGCCUCCACAUUAACCAAAUUUUACUUGCAUUUUGGAUUAUACGUAGGGAAUUUCACUUUCUCGGGUUACACUGCAUUCCAAGGUAUUACUUCAUGCUUAAUGGUUUUUUUCCUCUUUCUCAAUAGAAGGCAUUUUCCUGUGCUUUCAUGUUACUUAAGUAUAUCGAUUGUUGAUAUUGUACAGAUUUGGAAGAAAGUGGAUUAACAUAUUCUCAGCUCCCCCAGUCCAUACAUGAGAAUCUGCUGACAACCAAUGUCGAGGUAUGUUUUUGCUGAAAGAAUCAAAACUAGCUAUGGUUUUACAAUUCACGGGAUAAUAUAUUUUAGCUUCUUUGUCUGAACAUCUCUUGGAAUCUUUGCAGCCUUCUAGUAGAGGAAGCACAGUAGAUAAUGUUUUGCAUGGGCUUUUUCAAAAUGGUGAUUCAGCUCAGAAGUAUCUGCAGGGAUCAAGAAGCAUGAAAAUUGACAACUGGAUCCUCCUCGAUAAUUAUGUACAAGGACGUAAUGUAUCCCCUGGCUCUCACAUUAAGGCCUUGCAAAUCCACUCAAAACGGUCUAGAAAGCACAUGUCCAUGAAACAGCUUAAAAGAAGUGGAGCACUUGAUUUGCCAAAGGAUCUGCAAAAGUGAGUUACCAGAGAUGCAUAUGGUUGUGUAUAUGGUGGUAGUUUGCAAUGUCUUUGUUUCUCUCCAUCUGCACUUGUAUUUUGGUCCACCAUUAUUGUUUGAUAUUGAGUGAUCUUUGUUAGGUUUGCAGUGUCUUCUAUUUCAUUUCGUAUUUGAUCAGAUCAGCGUAGACAUUGUCUUCUUUUCAACCAUGAAGAUAUAAAAAUAAACUUUUUGUUUUUCCUGAUUUUGCUUUAUAUAUUUGGGGGGAAAUAUGAAAGAAUAGUGCAUUCUUCCUGAAUGUGUGAGAGAUAGGAAGAUCUUUGAUCAAUGGAUUUCUUCUCCAUGGUCAAAAUUAUGUGCUUGGAGAUGUAUGUUAUAACAUGAUUUUAAUAUGAGCAAUUCUUUUCUUUUUCCUCUUGAAGUAGUUCGCCUAAAAUUGUUGUUUUGAGUUUGAUUGCAGGUUUGAGAAGUAUAAGCCAAUGCAUGAAAUGUGGAAGGGCUAUAUUACACAACUUCUUAAAAGCACUGGGUGUGAUAUCAUUUCCUAAUAAUGUUUCUGAAUUUUCAUUAUAAUUGUUGGAAUUCUGUAACCAUACCUCCCUUCAAUCAUGCAGGAAAAAUCAGUUGGCCCAGUGUCUUCUUAGUGCAGAUUUACACGGUGCUAAUAUUAUAGGUAACAUGCUCUUAUCUGUGACGUCAAUUUUACUGUAAUAAACACCAAUGGGAAUCACAGAAGCUACUUUCUUCUCCUACUUCUAAUUUGCUCUCGUCUGUUUUCAAAAAAUUGUUAAACUUGUCUUCUUUGAAAAUUAUCUAAAUCAUACUCACCUUCUCUUGUUCUUAUUCUUUUUCUUCAUUGUGAGAAAAUUUUCUAAACAUGAUCAUUUCAGCUAGAACUGGUCCAAGAACUAUAUAAACCAUACAAACUUGGGCAGAUCUUUAAUGUGUAAGACUAUUUGCACAUAUGCAACUCUUUUCUGAUUUUACAGAACUCUUAAACUUGUCUUGCUGAAGGAGAGCAUUAUAGUGCUAACAAACCAAUUGUGCUCAAGAAAGACCAACAGCUGAGCUCUGUUGUUCAUCAGGUCUCCACAUAGUCUAACUGCCUCAUAAAGAGGAGCAAUUGGAUGAACAAGUUGUUAGUGGAGAAACAUUUUAUUGUCUUUAACAGAGCAUGUUAGUUUAUUUUAGUAAUUUGCUCUUUAGGCCAAGUCCUGUCAAAAAGUUGAAUGGCAGGGAGUGUGUUCGUGGUCUCGACCCCGUUAGAGAUGCCAAUUGCACUAAAAUAAAAUGAUUGCUUUCAAUAAUCCUCCCAAUUCUUUUGCAGUUGCAGAGUGUAAGACAUCUGCUCUCACUGGAUUGAGUGGUAUAAUGAUUCGUGAAACUACAGAAACAUUUGGGAUGGUUACACCAGAUGAUAAAUUUCAUGGUAAUUCAGCCUUUUAUGUACUUUAAAUUAAUAUGGCCAAAAUUAUUCCAACUUAUUAUGCAUGGUUCAAAUAAUUUUUUUGAGCUUCUUUCCACAUAUGCAUUUGUUUUAAGUCUGUGCUUGGUUUGCCAAGUAGUUUAACUUGGAAAUGAUAUAAUAACAUAAUUUUGCAAAUGUUGGUGUAUACAUGCGGAUCUCUUUCAAUGAUUGCACUUUUUAGUUUCUUGUAAACUCUAGAUGCAUCUUUUUCCUCAGUGAUGUUAUAAUGUGAAAUAAAAAAAUGAAAAAAUUUUUAAAAAAAGUAAUGAUUGGCAUAGUUGGGAGAAGACAAAAAAAAAGUGUCAAAAACAUGGAAAGCACAUUACAAGUUUAAACAUGCAAUGAAGGUUUCAUUUGCAUUAUCUCAUAAAUUUCACAUCAAGGGCACCUGUCAUGUUAUUGCAUCAUGAGGACUUUAGCAAGAUAUAAGCUUUUAGGUAAAAGUCAACAAUAACUCUAUGAAUUUCACAUCUAGAGCAGCUGUUGAGGUUCUUGUACCACAAGGACUUGAUGCAUUAUUGCAUUAUAGGGAAAAUUAAGUUUGUAAGACAUCAUUUGAGUCUAUUAUUGUUGUGGGGUGCAUAAAGUCAUCAAUAACUGUGGCUCAGCUAUUUGAUGUUUGAUUUCAUUUUGGGUAAUUUGCAGUUGUUCCUAAAAAGGUUUCUGUCCUCAUGUUCCGAGUUGACUGCUGGAAGAUAACGUUGUUGGGAGACAAACUUACUUCAAGAAAUUUGGGAUUGUAGUGUUGCUAUUAAUCAUUGCGUCCCAGGUAAUCUUCAUUGACAUCUGCUUAGUAUCAGCCAAUAAAUAUUAUUAGUGUUUAUAUCUUGCAAAGACUAAAAAGUAGAGGAGAUUGUAUAGCACAAGUAAACUUUCUGGUCUUUUAAUGUGAUAUCAAUUUUUCUUCAAAAUUAAAUGUGGAUUGAUUUGUCAUUGAAAGUUGUCUGCCCAGUAGAGUGUCUUUCUCACUUGCUUCGUAGAGAAAAUAUGAUGAUGUCUUAUACCAAACUCAUAGGAGUUUAUGACUUGGGAGUGUAAUUGGUAAAAACUUCUAGCGUUUUUACAGAUUGAUUUCUGAGCUGGCUUUUGAUUGACAUUAUAUAUGACAACAAAGCAGUGAAGCAUGAAAGUACUGCCCUUUAAGUUCAUAUUAAGUGCUCAUCAAACCAUCUGAUUGACUUAUAACAAAAUUAAACACACUGUUUUCUUGAAUCAAAGGUUCAUCAUCAUGGUGAGCUUUGGCUUGUUGGAACCUAGUUUCUCUCCCCCACCCAAACCCCUUUUUGUUAUCACAGUGGCUGUUCUACUUCUUGGUUAUGCAGGUUGAUUCUAAUUAUCUUUGGCCAAAACUUUUGCCUUGUCUAUACUCAAUUUUUGGAAAAUGAAAAAAAAAAAAAAAAUCUAUAAUGUUGGUUGUUAGGAUGAAAGAGCCAAUUGGUUAAGGAUUAAGUUUAGCUUUCAUUGGAAGAUUAGAGAUCAAGAUCUGGAUGUUAUAGAAAAGUUAUUUUUAAUCAAUAGAUAAUUUGCAAGUCCCUUAACAACCAAUAAGACUUCUAUAUGAAGAUUAACAUACGUUUCUCUUUAUGAUUCAUUAUAUUGUUGGUGUAGCAUUAUAAAUAUAUUUAGUACAAUUUGUAAUACAUUCUAUGUAAUAUGUUUGUCAUUAGCUCAAUAACCCCCUAGUUUUGCACCUUGCAACUUUAUUACCUCAAUUGGACAACAAAAAGACAAUAGUAGGUACCAUAUUAUUUAAAGAACAAAAGCAUUUUAAGUUCAAUUAUUUGCCUUUUUCUUAUAAUGAUUUGAAAGACAUUUAAUCUCUUGUUUUGGUAAAAAGUUCAACACCCGGGUCAUGUAAUGGUGCAAUUUCCUUUUGUCUCUUUCCAAUGAAAUGGGGUUGCGUUAUAGUGCUUGCUUUAAUUGAUCUUGGUGCCCGCCCAAGGGGAAUGACCAAAGGCCACAAGCUAUUGAAAUUAUUGGCUGCUGCUUUCAUUGUUAAUAAAGCAAGGGCUUAAACAUCAACUUUAUUCUUUGAUUCAUCCUUAAAGAAGGUAAAUGUUAAUCAUAAUUAAACAGUUCAAGACAUUAUAUUUUUGGAUAAUUAGAUACCCAAUGGAAUAAUAUUUCACUUUUUCCCCCUACUUUGUUUUCCCAUUCUUUUUCCAUAAUGUUCCUAAAGUUCUUCCUUAUGCUAUGAGAUCGCAGGCAUGGCUGAAUUACCAAUAGUCCAAGUAAUGGUUGUUUAUGACUUCAUGUCGUGUUUUCCACAGCCUGGUAACUGGUAUUGCAGAAGCAGUUUGGUGUCGUAUCAUUAUUAAUCAUGUUUAAUUUUGCCUUUUUGAAAUCAAUUUAUUGUUUUGUUAGAUAAGAAAUCUAAAAUUUGUACUCAUUUAUUUUUAUCUUAUUUCUUGGACUGACCCGUUUGAUGUAGAGAAUGCUAAUCCGUUGGAAAAUCACUAAAUUGGUGUACAAUUAUGGUUUGAAAUAUGUUCUUUUUAUGGGAGUAAAACGAAAAUGAUUUAGUAUCAAAAGAUAUUAGUAACGAAAUAAUCAAUUGAAAGUUACUUCUCAUUAGAAAAUAAUUAAGUUGUUAGAAUACAUCAAUAUUAAUGAGUUAAAGGGGCAAAUUAUUAUUAUAUUUAAAAAAAAAACUGAAUUUAAAGAUUUGAAUUGAAUUCAUUGUCUUAUGCUUUUUAUCGUACAAAUUUGGUGGUGUUGAAAUUUUUUAUAAGAACUAAUAUAUCAUACUUCUCGACGUUCUUCAUUUAGGAAAAGAAAAUCAAAAAAAAAAAAAAAAGAAGCACCAGUAACCAAGUGGAAUGGUGAUGUUAGAUUAUUUAAUGAUAGAGAUUUUAAAAUUUUUUGUUUCAGAUUAUUUUUCAGACAAUGUGAUAUAAGAUGUGGAAUUCAUUGAUUGAUUUAUAAUUUUAUAUGAGAUUUAAGUAAAUUAAUUAUAUUAUCUUAUCAUCUAAUUAAAGAAUAACACUUUAUUUGUUGGCUUGUGCUCUAGAUUCGUAUUUUAUAUCAAAUUUAGAUUCUUACCGAGUUGUGCCUUAUACUCAGAUUGUUAAUAUUUCAAUUGAUAGUUAUUUUAAUGAGGAUAACGUAUAAUUAAAUUUUUACUGGACAUGAUUAUAAAUAAAGAAUAAUCGUAACGUACCAGACAAAAAUUAUAAAAGUUAUAUAAAAGGCUGCAGAUCAGUUUUAAAACCAAAUUCAAGUUGUGCAUUUAUAUGUGCCCUGGCACGAGGGUAAGUAUUAAAUGAUAUCGUCGCAUCAAAUGAAAUUUUAAGACACCCCCCGUGAAUUUAAAAUACAACGACCACUGCGUCCUUCGAAUCGCCCAAAUUGGACAUCUGGGCGCACGUUUAAACUGUGGAGGUAGUAGACCCACAUUAUAACUCUCGUGUCCCACCCCACUGCAUGCUCCAUCUUUUACGGCAACAUUAAACCACAAGAUCAUUGAAGUGUUAUACCAUUUUAGAGUUUCAAGAUAUCAAGUUCCAUUGACGCACCCAAAAAGCAAGUAACGGUUUCAUCCCAAGAAGAACUAGAGACUCUUCUGGAUUCAAUAUAUUUUCAAAAAAGAAAAAAAAAGAGUAAUUUUAUACAAAUUGAUCAAUAUUAUAAUCAGUAGUGAUAUAUUUAAAAAUUGCUUUAUAAAUUACAUGACACAAAAGAAAAUAAUUAGGUAGAUCUUGUGAUACUUUAAUCCAUCUAAUAAGUAACCAACUUAAAUGAUUCAUAUUAUAGUAUUUAACACUUUUAUUAUAAUUCAUAAUCAUUUUUUAUUCUGAGAAGUGAGGCGGUAAAUUAAAAAGGAGAUCACUUUGAGGAUAUAAAUUUGAACCCUGUAAGGUCUCCAUAUAUAUAUUUUAACAAAGUAUAGAAUAUAUAUAUUUCUGCACAUUAUCAAAAUUUCCUGUAGACCCAGAAUAUAAUGCACAUUAUCAAAUGCAAAUUUAUUCCCAAUACUUGGUCAAUUUCAUUCUCUCUUUUUUUAUUUGUUCCCGGAUAAAAUUUUGGUGAGCUCAUUCAAUGAGUUAAAUUAUACAAUAACUCAAUUUUACAAAACUGAAACGUUACGAAAUUAAUAGAGAAAUUUAUGAUAAAUAAAUUGUCUUUUAUUUCCUCUAAUUUAUACUAAUACACAAAAUUAAUAGAUAACAAUAAAAUACAAAAAAAAAAGAAAAAAAAAUCUUUCGUUAGGGAAUUUUUGUAGUGUUCAAAAUUCAAAAGGGGGAAAGUAGUAGUUGUAAACGCAGAUGGGCAGGCGCCCGCGCCAGUCAGCGGCAGUCCACAUCAAAUCACGUGAAGCGAAAACGGGAGCGUGGAAAAGCGCGCGUGGGAAGAGAGAGCGUGGGCGAAGGGAGUUAGUAGGAAGAAGCAUCUACGUAUAGGAAAAUACGCCCAGUAAACUCUUUUGGUAGCUUGCUUGGUCUGUCCACUGACAGAAACGAAGACUCACUCGGGAACUGCGCAGCAGCACCUGCAUUGCAUUGCAGUUCAAAGCUAUAUCCACUUUCCUUAAGACCGCGUUUGGCUACCCACAUUUAACUCUCUCUCUCCCUCUUUUAAGGAUUUUUCAACUCCAAACAGCAACUAACAGUAACCAAACAGCCGGAGCUAGCAAACAUUGAUUUCUUCAGGUGAAGUACUUUAUGUUCCAUCAAACAUUGUUCGACGUUUAAAUGUUCUCUUUUUUUUUUCGCUUUUUUAAAGAUGUUGUCAGUAUCCCGGUUCUGGGUUUGGCUUAUACUUUUUGAUAGUAAUGAUGAUGAUGGCGGCUCUUUUUGGUCUUUUUAUUUUUGAGCUACUUAGAAAUGAAAAAUGUGAGAAGCUCAUAGGUUAGAAAUGAAGAAUGUGAGAAGUUCAUAGGUUUCGAUGAUGAUGGCCGCUAUUUUAGGUCUUUUUAUUUUAGAGCUACUUGGAAAUGAAAAAUGUAAGAAGCUCAUAGGUUAGAAAUGAACAAUGUGAGUAAGUUCAUACGUUUCGAAUUCCGGCUCUUUGGGUUUUUAAUUUUUAUUUUUAAUUUAUGUUUGCUUGGUUCUGUGAGUUCAUACGUUUCGAGUUCCGGCUCUUUGGGUUUUUAAUUUAUGUUUGCUUGGUUCUGUAAGUGCGUUGGUGGUAUUUUGAAAAGAGAAGUUAUUUUAGUUUCUUGGCUCUGCUUUAGCUUUAUUUCAGUGCCAAGUUGAUAUAGAGCAAGUUGAGUUUCCAUCGAUCUAAGUAUUUUUUUUUUCUAUGUAUAUGAUUUCUUGUUUCUGUAUGCUUUUAGUUAAAAAUUGUAUGGUUCUUUCAAGAUUUGGUAGUUUUUCCCUUUUUCCAACUUUAAAUUCCCAGUUUCCAGGUUGAAUGAGUUUUCUUUUCUUUUUCAUUUUAAUCAGUACGCUUUAGAAGAACACACCGCAUGAGAAAUACUUAAAUAAAAAAAAUUAAAAAAAGAAAAUUGCUCUAGUAUUUGGAGCUGAAAUAUGGUAUAUUUGGUGCUAUUAAAAUAAAGCAUUCUUAAGAAGAAGAUGAUCCGGUUUAUGUCAUUAGCAUAUCUGCAAAUUAAAAUGAAACACCCACAUGUGUACUGUCACCAUUUUAUGUAUUGCUGGCCCAUUGUGACUUCAAUAAUGCUUUUUCUUUUUCUUUUUUUUGGUUAGCACUAUUCAAGUACUGGAGUAAAAAACAAGUGAUAAAAAGUUGCAAAGCUGGUUUUCCUUAAUGAUAUUUUAUGAACUCAUUUGAUUGCAACUUUUUCUUUAUUUUCAAUUUUUGUCUUUGUCUUCUGGUUUAUGGUUGGUGGUAGUGGGAGUAGUUUCCAUGGAGUUUCUUUGAAGCGACUGUAUUGUUUGUUUGUUUGUUAGGCUUUGUGCAUAGUGAUUAGAAGUGGCUGUCGUUUUUGGACCAUUAUGCUUAUUCUUCCAAUGCUCACAUAUAUAUUAGUUUCUCUUUCAUUCUUCUUUCCCAGCCAAAUGUUUCUCUGAACAUUUGCAGGUGUUGUGGGUCAGGUGGGGUUUGAUUUGAAGGAGAGGCCAUUUAUUUUCCACUUCUGGCAGAGCGGAUAUAGAAGCUAUGCAGACACCAAAAGCAAGGUAACAUUGUCACUUAUUAAGUGCUUUUUGGUUUGCGGAAUUCUAUUUUUCUAUGAUAAACACUGUUCUCAAGUUAAAUAUGCAGCUGGGAAUUUUUUUUUUUAAUUGUUCUGUUAUUCUGAUCUUGAAAUCAAAAAAUGGGCCCUACCAGUUUCUUAUUGCUUUAGGCAGCUUUUUAUUCACUAUUCCUGUUUCUGACUUCACUUGCUUUUGCAUUUUAUGAAGUUCUGGUUAAUUUUAAUUCACACAAAUAGUGCAUGAAAUUCAAAAGAAUCUAAACUGAUUUCAAGCUUCUGCCUAUUUGCUACUUUUCAUGAUUCUGGAAAUUGAUUGAAAGAGUGAAAUUAAUCCAAUUUAUAGUAUUGGUCUCAUCUAUUGGAUUUACUUGUCUUGUAAAAUCUGUGUAUUGAGUGAGCAAUGCAUCAUUAAAUUGCUGCCAGCCUAUUGCUAUAAUAAAUGCAUUUACAAUUUUGAUGAAACCAUUUUGUUUUGGAUGAGCUGUGAAUGUGGGCACAUUCUUUGGAAACAAAUAUAUUAAUAUUGAUAGCAAAUCUGUUACUGUCACUAUUUAACACCAGAGUGAAAUUGUUAAGUCGUGUGUUGAAUAUUUUAUUUCACUAUUUGUUUCUAACAUACAUGUAAAAUCUGUGUAUUGAGUGAGCAAUGCAUCAUUAAAUUGCUGCCAGCCUAUUGCUAUAAUAAAUGCAUUUACAAUUUUGAUGAAACCAUUUUGUUUUGGAUGAGCUGUGAAUGUGGGCACAUUCUUUGGAAACAAAUAUAUUAAUAUUGAUAGCAAAUCUGUUACUGUCACUAUUUAACACCGGAGUGAAAUUGUUAAGUCGUGUGUUGAAUAUUUUAUUUCACUAUUUGUUUCUAACAUACAUGCAGUCUCUUUUGUUUUGCAUUAGUUGCUGUAACCGGAUGCUUCAGUGAUUUUUAUGCAUUCUUUCUUAUUCUGGUUUUCAUCCUACUGGCUUUGACAACAGAACCAGUUCUUCAGAAGUGCCUCAAAGAAAAUCUCUUGCAACACCUCGAACUGCUCGCCAACUCAAACUGCCAGGAUCAGAUUCAGACUCUGUUUCAUCUGCCGCAAGUCCCAUGAAUAAAACACCAAAAGGAAGUCCUAAAGUUGUUGAACGCAAAUCACCUAGGAGUCCGGCAUUGGAGGUACUCUCCUAUUAUUUAUAUAACUGAUACUGUUUCAAUCUCGUUUCGUAUUGCAUAGGGAAUUUGCUGAAUUUGGCGGACUAAUAGAUGCUUCUAUUCUGUUGCUAUAAUAAACUCGUGUACUGGCAUUUAUUUAAUUUUUAAUUGUAGAACUUUUUUCUUUGACAAUUCAAAUUUUUUGAGCAUAAUAACUUUUACCCUACUAAUUGCCAAAGGUUCCUUAAUUGUCACUUUCUCGCUUGAUAUCUGCUCUUUGUUUGUGAACUCUAGAAAAAGCGACCAAGCAGAGUGUCUGAACUAGAAUCCCAGCUUGCCCAACUUCAAGAGGAUCUCAAGAAGGCAAAGGAACAACUGAAUGCUUCUGACUCCUGGAAGAGGCGAGCUCAGCAAGAGGCUGAGGAGGCGAAGAAGCAGCUCUCAGCCAUGUCAGCAAGGCUCGAGGAAUCUCAGCAACAGCUACUGGAGAUUACUACUUCUGAGGAUACACGAGUUGAAGAGCUCAGACAGCUCUCACAGGAUCGAGACAAAGCAUGGCAAUCUGAGCUUGAUGCUGUCCAGAAACAGCAGUCUAUGGAUUCUGCUGCCUUGGGUUCUGCCAUGAAUGAAAUUCAGAGGCUCAAAUUUCAGCUGGAAAAGGUGGCAGAGUCUGAAGCUGCCCAAACCAAGCAUGCAGAGUCUGCAUAUGCUGAAAUGCAGAACUUGAGAAUAGAACUUACUGAAACUUUAUCCCUUGUUGAAAAACUGAAAAACGAGCUUAGCUAUUGCAAAGAAUCUGAAUCCCAGGCUCUUGAGGAUGUUCGCAAAUCUCAAAUGCAGCUAGAAACUGCAAAUGCUAAUUUGGAAAUGCUGCGAUCAGAUGGUAUCAAGGCCACAGAGGCUUAUAAUACCUUAUCAUUGGAGCUGGAGCUGUCAAAAGCUCGAGUUAAAUCAUUGGAGGAACUUGUAAGCAAACUCCAGAAUGAUCUACUUAAUAGUAGCAACAAAUUGGCGGAAUCUAUGGGUGAUGUUCACCUUUCUCAAAAGAAUGGAGAAAAUGAAGAAAUAGACAAGCUCAAAGGGGAGCUUGAUCUUGCUAGAAAUGAAUUGCGCCAACUAAGAUCUGCAUUAGAUGCUUCUGAGACCAGGUACCAGGAAGAAUAUAUUCAGAGCACAUUGCAGAUUAGAAGUGCAUAUGAACAAUUAGAACGUGCUAAAUCUGAAUCAAGCCAGAGAGAGGCUGAUCUGGAGACAGAAUUGAAAAACGUGAAAGCUCAGAUUGAAGAGUUGAGAGCAAACUUGUUGGACAAGGAAACAGAAUUGCAGAGUAUUUCGGAGGAGAAUGAGGGACUGAAUCUGAAGAUCAAGACAAACGAGUCUAAUCAAAGAGAUUCCAAACUUGCUGUGGAGCUGAAUAAGUUAGAGGCAGAAGUGGUUGAGUUUAAGGCGAGUAUUUUGGACAAGGAAACAGAGUUGAUGAGUUUAACUGAACAAAAUGGAAUGCUAAAGAUGGAGAUUGAAAAUAGGGAAAUGGAGAGAAACAAAGUCAAUGAUGAGGCUAUUUCCUUGGCAGAAGCAGCUAGGGUUGCGGAGAGAGAGGCUUUGAUGAAAGUUGGCUUCUUAACUGAAGAAGCUGAUAAAAGUAGCAGAAGAGCAGCACGUGUAACUGAGCAAUUGGAUGCAGCUCAGGCAGCAAGUACAGAAAUGGAGGCGGAGUUGAGGAAAUUGAAGGUGCAGUCAGACCAGUGGAGGAAAGCAGCUGAGGCAGCCACUGCAAUGCUCUCUGCUGGGAACAAUGGGAAAUUUGUAGAGAGAACAGGUUCUCUGGACGGCCAAUACAGUCCCAUGAUUGGAAAUACUGGUUCUCCUUACUGUGAAGAACUGGACGAUGAUUCACCCAAGAAGAAAAAUGCAAACAUGCUGAAGAAAUUCGGGGUACUAUGGAAGAAAGGCCAGAAAUAGAUGGACGACAUCUCAGGUUUCAAAUUAUUCUAUUAUAUAAUUCAUUUACUUUUCAAUGUAAUUUUCCUUUUUAUCUUAACAGUUAUAUUGGCAGGUUGUCAAGGCUGUUGCAAAAGUUGGGAGACGUUUAAACUCUUUUGUGAACUCUGUAUAGAUGUGGCAACUGGGCAUUUUUAACAGUUCAAUUUCAACUUCAUUUCACCUAUGUUUUCGGGGCAUUGGACGGAGACUGCAAAUACUCUCUAAUCUUUACACCGUCAAACUGUUUAUGUUGAUCGAGCAGUGUAUCUCGAAGCCAUUACAAGAUGGGGAAUAUUUGUAUGAAUUUGGAGCCAUUGAUGGACUUCAAUGAACCGAUAGUCUUAUUUUGUUAUUUGAAAUUUGCUGAUUAUGCAGCAUAUCUAUCAGCACCAAUUAACAAUCCUUUCUGUUUCUUGAUUCAUUGUUGCCCCUCUCAACAAUUUUCAACUACCCUGAUGUUAUUAUUAGUAGCCACGUUCUCUCAUGUCAUCAGGCUAAGAGAUUGGUUAUGUUCUUGAACUUUCUACCACUGACAUAAUCAAUGGCUAAGAAUUUACAUUGAUUAAUCACCCUCGAUCUGUUUAUUGUUGGAACACAAAACACUGUGCGUCGAUCGAAUUUUGAGAACCCUUCUGGGAGUUUAAUUCACUUGUUUUGAUGUUAAGCCUCCUCCCUCUUACUUAGCGUGUCCUUUUCGGUGUUAUUGAUGACAUGAGAAUUGGCCUAAAUCACAACAGAGUUGGAUUCAUGUAAUCAGUCCUGGUUUCUUGUUUCAUUUAGUGUAAAAUAUAAAAUCAAACAAUUGCAACCAUCAAUGAAAUUUGCCACUUUAUUCGGUGGAUUCUGUUUUUGUUUUUUUUAUUUAUUUUUAAAAGAUAGAGAGGAGGGUAAAAUUUAAUUUUUUUUUAAUCCGUUAUUUUUCCUAGAAGAAUUUAUAUGCUAAUUAAAUAAAACUAUUUAAAAAUCACUCAAUCUAACCAAACCUUUGGGGCAUAUUAAGCAAAUUUAUUAAAUUCGUAACAUAAUUAAAAUAGUAUGAUGACACUUUAAUAAAAAGAUUAUCCCAUAAUUUAAUUAACUGAAUUAAGAAUUUGUACAUGCACUAGUGAGUGAGGAGUAAGUUUAGGCCAUUUACUGUGUGAUAAAAGACUUUUUCCACCUCCAUCAUGAAGGAAAUUAGUUCAAGUCCCUCUAGGAAUCUAUUGAUUUGUCAGUAUAAAGUUAAUAAUACUAGUAGCUUAUUGUAAUAUAAUUUCAAACAAAAAUUAUACGUUGCACAUCAUUAUUUUUGGGUGCAUUUGGCACAUUAUAUUGUAUUAUAUUGUAUUACAUUAUUUUAAUGGAGAUAUAUUAUAUUAUGAUGGAUUACAUUAGGAAUGUAUUAUAACAAUACUGUACAAUAUCUAGUGCUACUUUGUAUUGCAUUAAUUUUUAAUUAUAUUAUAUAAUUUAUAUUUGGUGCUGCAUACUGCAGUGUACUUUAUUAAAUUUUUUGUGAUAAAUUUAAAUUAUAUAUUUAGAAAAUAAUAUUUUUUAGUACUUAGAAAAUAUCAUAAUUUUUCAUAAAGAAUGAAACUUAUAGCCUUAAAUUUUCGAAAGUAUAACAUUUAUUUUUCAGUAUUUUCUAAAUAUAUAACCUAUGAAAUAAAGUGAAGCAAAUAAUUUAAUCAAAUAACCUCUAAAUAAUAUAACAAUAUAAAUAAAUAGUUAAAACCUACGAGAUUAGUUCAAAGGUCACCUUAGGAUCAUAGAUUAAAAGUUUGUACAUACCAGAAGUUAACUACAAAAUAAUAAAAUGAUACAUUGUUGUAACGUAUUCAUUCAGUAACAAAAAGAAUUAUGCUAAAUAAUCUAGUAAUUAUGCUAAAUAAUCUAGUAAUUAUUUAUAUUAUUAAUUUUAAAUUAAUAUUAUUCAAAUUUAUUCAUGUUUAAAUAUUUAUUAGUAGUUAUAUUGAAUUAUUUAAAAAAACUGAUUUAAUUAUUGUAAUAUAAUUAAAUAAUUUUAUAUUAUAUUGUAUUAUUUAAGUAUUUAUUAUUAGUUAUAUUAACUCUGCUGUANNNNNNNNNNNNNNNNNNNNNNNNNNNNNNNNNNNNNNNNNNNNNNNNNNNNNNNNNNNNNNNNNNNNNNNNNNNNNNNNNNNNNNNNNNNNNNNNNNNNNNNNNNNNNNNNNNNNNNNNNNNNNNNNNNNNNNNNNNNNNNNNNNNNNNNNNNNNNNNNNNNNNNNNNNNNNNNNNNNNNNNNNNNNNNNNNNNNNNNNNNNNNNNNNNNNNNNNNNNNNNNNNNNNNNNNNNNNNNNNNNNNNNNNNNNNNNNNNNNNNNNNNNNNNNNNNNNNNNNNNNNNNNNNNNNNNNNNNNNNNNNNNNNNNNNNNNNNNNNNNNNNNNNNNNNNNNNNNNNNNNNNNNNNNNNNNNNNNNNNNNNNNNNNNNNCAGUUUAUUAUUAAUUAAAUUAAAUUGUUAAAUAAUAAUCAAUUUUUAUAUAUUAAUUACUAUAUAAUGUAAUAUUAUGUUAUAUUUUUAUUUUAUAUAUUAUUUAAGUAUUUAUUAUUAGUUAUAUUAACUUAUUAAAUAUUAAUCAAUUUUAUAUAUUAAUUAUUAGAACAUGGUUAAAUAAUACACUAUUUAGUUAUGGUUUU